rnacentral:lncRNA from 1 species
AUAAAUAACUUGAAUGUAAAUAAAAGUAAUUAAAGAACUCAGGAAUUAUGAGUUGAAGAACCUGGAGAACGAUGAAGAACGAACCAGUUGCUGCAAAAGUAUAAUGUUGAGGAAGAUCCGACAGAUCCGGCUCCUCCUCUGCUCUCCUCUUCUCUCUCCCUAUUUUCUAGAUUACAACUAGAACUAACUAGAACUAGAACUAGAACUAGAUGAACUAGAACUAGAUCUAGAUGAAAUAGAGGUAGAACUAGAAGAACUAGAGGGAUCCUCUCUACUUGGAUAAAGAAUUGAAACCCUAGCUUUGAUUCUGUAGAAGAGGUGUGAUCUCCAGGGGCUAGGGGGGUCUGGUUUUAUAGUCCCUUCAAGUGAAUCUGGGCCGUCGGAUCAAAUCGACAUUGAUCGUGUGGUUUUCCUUGAAGUAUUAGGUCGGUGGAGUGUUGUCCCCGAAUUGGACUCUAUUUGGUCCAGGGGGGAGGGCGGGCGCCCAGUAAGGGAGGGCGGGCGCCCAGUGCCCGGCUCCGUUACAUCUCCCGUUCGUUCCCGUGGCUUCUGGAGUCUUCUAGAUGGUAGAAAAUUACGCGGCAUGUUAAUAUCUCUAUGUAAACCCGACGUGUGGGCCUUUCUUCCUUAUUUCCUGAUAACCCCCUACAGAAAUAGACAAACACCAAAACUCGUGGAAUUCUGUCAGAUAAAACCCUAAGUCUAGGUGUUGGUUCCAUUUAGAUCCUUUUCCAUGAUUAGUUGAUGGUUAAAUGUGAGCAUGAAGGACCGUCAACAAGCUCCCCCAAGCUUAACCUUUGCUCGUCCCUGAGCAAAGAUGGACUCAAGAGUUUCUGCAGUGGUUUCAUAACUUAAAGAUACACAUGCGUUUAAACAAGAUCUCAUCUCUGGUUAGAGUGAACUGUUAAGACUUAAAACUUACUUAUUUACCUUUCACCAUGGGACUUGUAACCGUCACUUCUGUCUUGAGUAGUUAAAAGAUAGAACAGUCUAGUCAAGCACCAUGUCUCUUGUUCUUCGAUUAACUAUAGCUCUGGAGUUUUUGCAGAUUUUCAAAUAAAACUCAGAGAUUCCUUGUAUGACUCUCUCUAGUCUCUCUUUUGUGGUAUUUCUGGAUCCUUACCAAAGCAGUAUUGGUAUAUGCCUUCUCUCAAAGUAUGUGGUAUUUGUGGUAUAAGGCAUAGUGGCAUUGCCUUCUCUCUCACCCUACUCUUAUAAGGUUUUGAUAUCUGGAGCUCAUAGGUGGGAGACAGCUAAUACAUACUUACAAGACAUUUAUUGCAUAGUCAAACCAUGGAUCCAGAAGAACAAGUCAAUAAGUCAAAUCAAGAUGUGCAUGUGUGGCGAAUGAAUGGUGUAUGGUGAUGAUGGUGAUAACAAUAGUGAAAGUCUAAUUCUACUUAUGCUCUUUUGAGGGGAUACGUACCUUUCUUUCUCUUUUAAAACUUUUUUGAGGAGAAUGAGAUGCUCUAUAUUUUCUCUUUUUUUUUUCUUUUCUCUCAGGUGGGUAUCUUAUACCCCUAAUUCUACUGUCGAACACUUGUCUAUUUUUACCUCUCGUCUCACUUUUUUUUCUUUUCUUUCGAGGUUCCGGGCACUUGCCCCUUUUUAUUUCCUCGUAUCUUUUUCUUUUUUUUAGAGCACUCAUCUCAUGAGAUAAUGUAGCAAGUGGUAGUAACAAGAUAACUUGAGCAUUUAUUUCACAGGGGGAAAACAGAAAUAUUUUUGGCUAUUCUCUCCCAGAUUAGGAAUAGAAUAUUUUUGGAUGGUUCUGGAGAUGGAAAUGGAUGGAUAUAUGUGGAUGCGUACUUCCGGAGUAGAAGCAGCUUGUGUGAGUGAACGUGCAAGUGAAUCUUGACUUAACCACAUGACAAGCUCCUAAGGGUCUACACAGCUUGACCACACUCAAUGCUCAUAAGCAGUAAAAAGUAAAUGUGUGGCUCAAAGUCUAGCAAGCAUGUAUAUAUGGCUGUGGUAGGAAUUUAAACUCUCAUCAUACAGGAACUCAUCAUGUGUUAUUUUAAAGAUUUUCAAAGAUAAAAUUCUCCAGAAUUCUAGCAUCUCUAGGAACAGAUAGACAGUAGCUCAACCUUCCCAUAUCAUAUCCGUUAACGACUUAGACUUCAGAUCAAGUACUCUUCCUACAAGUUUAGGUUUAGAGCAAAUCUUAAUUAAUAAUAGUCAUGCCUAAACUUAAGAGAGAUUUCAAUUUUUAGAACUAAUCAUGGCAGAGAAACUAUUCAUCAUUUCCAUGUGAGAGCUUAUCAUGAGGGUUCAUAGCAAACUUUAUUUAUUUAUUUAUUUAUUUAUUUAUUUAGCAAACUAAGCAAAUAUAUAUAUAAGCACAAAAUCUUUAUUUGGGUUUUUAUGAUUAUGCGUAUUUUUAUUAUUUGAGUAAAGUAUAACCAUGAGUAGAACACUUAGCUGGAUAAAUGGGGGUUGCUCUCCCCCAAGGUGGGUUUUGACGUAAUUCCUUCUGAUGUAGCUAGCAGGUGGCGGAGGUGUUUUUGAAUGUCGGCAGCACCCUGACAGCGAUUAGGAUGUCCUCUGUCUGCUAGUCUUCUUUGAUCCUUGAAUUCUGUGGAGCUCAAAUAGACAACAAAGCUUUGUGGAACUAGUUAAGUGUUAGCAUAAAUAUCUAGCCUUUAUCAUGUUGAGCCUCCUCAUUAAAUGUUACACUCUUUAGUAGGAUCAUGAAUUUAUUUUUAUAUUCUUAUUUUUAUAGCGCAUAAAUAUAUUUAUUUUAUUUUUAUGCCACCACAGUGAAUGUACUUAUGGGUUUUAUGCCAUGAGCAUACUCACAUGGGGCUUACUAUUUUAAACAUUUAUUUUCUUUUCAAGAUGAUAUGAACCUGAUUAACUAAGCAAACUAUUUUAAAAUAAUUGAAAGGAAAAAGAUAACUACCAAGUUUACCUCUUGGCAAGGCGUUCGGUGUUUUUAAGUCCUCCGAACGGGACUCUCCGUUUCCUGAGUCAUUAUGGGAUUCGCUGGAUGGCGUAGUCGGUGGUUCCGACGGUGCUUCCUCUUCGUGUAUAACUAUCUUCUCAUUCCACACCUGACUCGGUGCUACGGUCUCCUCAGGACAGUUCUGUUCAAGUUGUAUGUCUUUAGACCUUACAACUUCUCCUUCAUAGUCUACCCAUCCGUCCUUGAUGAUUUGCCUCCUCUGGUUGCGGUUGCGUCGUCGUCUUCUUGUCCUGACCUGCUUAGAGUCUUCAACUAUAUAGUUAGGGUCAGUAAAACAGUGGCGUACCUUCUCUGAGGGGAAGUGCAUGUGGACUUCUCUGGUUCCAAUGUAUAUGAUUGCUUUAAUGGUGCUAAAGAACGGUCUUCCAAGGAUGAGGGGUGGAUCAUACUCGUCUUCUCCCAUGUCAAUAACCUUCAAUCUUUCAGAAUGUCUGAUCUGCCAUCUGGAGCUGAAUGUAUGUUGGUUGUAGGGACAUGGUUCCAUGCAGGAGCUGAUAAGUGACUGCGGCCAUUAUGUUGACGUUAGAUCCGGUGUUGUAGAGUGUCUUCUAAAAAGAAUAUCCGUUGAUUGUGCUCUCGAUGCUUGGAACACCAGGGUCGUCCUUCUUGAUCAAGAAAGGUGACUUGAGUUGACGAUCUUGACCUCCUUGAGCUGCAGUGACCAUCUUAGCUGACUCGGUACACAUUUGCUUGUUCCUGUUCCUCCUAUUGGUCCUCUUCCUUGGUUCAUGUCGGGAUUGCUUUGGGAUUUGUGUAGUCUUGUUCUUGAAGGAAAACGUCUCCUUCUUCCCCUUGAUGUAGAAACUGAUUGUUGACACCGUUUUUGGGCACGUGUCUAGGAUGGCAGGAUAGGGUGGCAGUACGAUGCGGGUUGCCGAUGAGGAUGGUUGCCGAUGAGGGAGAGGUUGAAUGUGACUAAGUCCACAGGCAGUAAUAUGGUGCCGAUGGCUGGAUAAAAAGGUCUGCCGAUGACUAUGGCAAAGGGAUUGCCGAUGAUGCAAAGGAGGAGUCCGGAAGCUGCCAGUUGUCAUGUGGAGGAGUUUUGGUUUGUCACGAAGGAUAGUUUUGUUAUUUCCUUAAUUAUUUGCAUCGUUUUGUAUACGGAUUCCGUGUAAUUUGGAAUUCGAAUUCUAAUCGUGUCUGGUUGUAGCUCUUUGAGCAGGGUAUAAAUAUAAACCCUAGGGCCUUGUAAGAAUCAAUCAAGAAAUCAAUCAAAUACACGUUUUUACUCAUAUUCCAGCAUCUACUUUUCGACGACUUCGUCAUACUUUUUUUUUCUUUUUAUUACGAGUUCUUAGGAAUUCGUCGACUUAAGCUCGGCGUGUUCUCAAGUUCCGCGUGAGUACCUCUUAGCCGUGACAUCCGGGCGCAUCGCUGUUGUCAGGACUAAAGUAUUCGAGUUAUCACCUUUGCCGAUAGUAAGGUCAAAUCGGCUGGCACGCCUUAACGUUUGAAUUGGGUAUUAGCCCUUUGUGUUUGCAGAUCAGUUUUGCAUCAACACAUCUUUUGGCACGCCCAGUGGGACAGGAUUCAAGAUCAAGAUCAACAUGUCGAUCUCUGACCUCGAUCAAGAGAACGUCAUCCCCGUGACGGAGGCCAACCUCAAGGAUGAGCAGAAGCAAGCUAUUGCCCAAGCCAUGGAAGAAUUCAAGCAGCAAUGCCUGAGGUCUUUCAGCAUAAACAGGAGCGGCGAAGUGGUCCAGAAAGAUGCACUGCCGGCACCACGGCAGGUCACCUUUGACGCCAAUCCUGGCAAGCUUCAAGAUAUGGUUGACAAUGCCAUCAAUCGAGCGUUGAUUAACCAAGCUGGUGUACUGUCUAAUACGGUUUUCAAUGCCGUGGCAAGAACUUUCAAGGAAGGACAAAUCCCGCCAGAUUAUGUGGGCCCCUCCCAUCAUCAGCCAACGGCACCAGAGGUCACGGCUCCAUCGGCUGCCUUGACGAAUGCAAGUGCACAACCUGCCGUCCCUCCAAGUACAUCGGGGACUACUGGUGCACUAUCUAUGCCGAUGGCAACCAACCCACAAAUUUCAGUUGGGCAGCAUAAACUGACAACAGAUAUGUUGGCAUCGGCAAUGUCAGGGUUGACUCUUCCUCCCAACUGGUGGGGUUAUGGUAUGCCUCCAGAGUUGACGCCGGGAACAUCACAAAUAACCGACAUGAGGGGCAAAACUCCUAUGACAUCGGCACCUCCCAAUGCGCCGGUGAACCAGAGUCCUCGGUAUACCACAACUACUACUGCAAGGCCUCACACUGGAAAUCCUCAAGAUUCAAUAUUCCAGAUGCCCAACGCAUCGGCAGAGUCAAUGCUGAUGCAGCAGAGGCCUAUGGCCCAGUCUGGGUAUGUCAAUUCGACGACGGUACCCAAUUACCAAUCAUCGGCAGCACCUAUGCCGAUGAACGCUAAUAAUGGAUGGCUUGGACAGCAAGCCUUUCCACAAUCGCCCCAGCAGAGUUACCAGACUACAGGGUUCCAGCAAGGGCAGGUCUAUCCCGGGUUCCAAGGUCAGGGGAUUCCCAACCAGCCAAUGAAUUUUGGACAGCAACUCGGAGGACAGCCAAUCGGUGGACAGCAGUUUGGUGGUCCGCAGAUUGGAGGACAGGUGAUCAAUACAAUGUUCCGUGCAGAUCACGUCCCGAACAGACACGUGGAGGUUCGCCACCAAGUGCCAGAUCCGCAGCCGCCUCAUCGGCAAGAUGCCGAUGCGUAUUGGGCCGAUAAGAUUGCUGAAGUAAUGAGGGAACAAUUUGGGAUAAAACCCAAAGUCAACACUUAUUCUUAUCGGACACCGUAUCCUCCCGCGUGUGAUUUGAUCCCGCUUCCACAUCGGUACAAGGUACCGGAUUUUACAAAGUUUUCCGGACAGGACGACACGUCAACCAUGGAGCAUGUCAACAGGUUCAUUAUUCAAUGUGGAGAGGCUGGUAACAGGGACGAAUUGAGGGUUCGUCUAUUUUCGUCAUCAUUGUCUGGAUCGGCCUUUACUUGGUUCAUAUCAUUACCUCCCAACUCAGUAAUUACUUGGGCCGAUCUGGAGAAGCAAUUCCACAAAUACUUCUUCUCGGGGGUUCAUGAGAAGAAGAUCACCGACUUGGUCAAAUUGAGGCAACGUAAUGAUGAGUCGGUUGAAGGAUUUGUGCAGAGGAUACGAGAGGUCAAGAAUAAAUGCUAUAGCCUGGUUCUGGAUGAUCGGCAGCUAGCCGAUUUGGCUUUCCAGGGUUUGUUGCCACAUAUCAGGGAUAAGUAUGCCUCUCAGGAGUUCAAAAGUUUAAGUCAUUUGGUGCAGAGGAUUUCUGAUCAAGACAUCAAGCCUUUUGAGCCUAAGAGAGCAUGGAAUAAGAAAGUGUCGUUUGUUGAUGAAGCCGCAAGCUCAGAUUCUGAUGAAGAACCAGUAAUCGGUUUGGCAGAGUGGGUAAAAAACAAGAAGCCGAUGUCUUGUCCUUUUGGGCAGAAGGAACCAGAGAAGUUUGCUUUUGACACCGCUAAGGCUGAUAGGAUAUUUGACUUUCUACUUCAGGAAGGUCAGAUCAAACUGUCACCUAACCAUGUGAUCCCAUCGGCAGAAGAGUUGAAGAGGAUGAGAUAUUGCAAGUGGCAUAAUGCAACUUCCCAUGACACCAACGAGUGCAAAGUAUUCAGACAGCAGCUGCAAUCGGCUAUAGAGUCAGGGAGAAUCAAGUUUGACAGUUCCAAAGCCCAGAAGCCAAUGAAGAUAGACCAACAUCCUUUUCCGACAAACAUGUUGGAUGCUAAGGGGAAGGCUAAGGUCUUAACAUCGGAGACAGCUGAGAAGAGUGCAUCGGUAGAUCCUCAGCAUCAAGUUACUACUGCCGAUGCAAGAAGUAAGGGCUUGGUCCAGGAAGGAACUAGCUCAGGAAGGCUUCCUCGAUCUGGUAUCGUCAUAACUCAUAGAAGGCCUCGAGAAAAGUGGCAACAACGGGAAGAUCGGUAUCGGCGCCAGCAGGAAGAUUAUCGACGGGAAGAAGAAAGACGCCGACAGGAGUGGAAUCGGCACAGGGAUCAUUGGAAUUGUCCAUUCUUCAUCCAUUGUUGGGAGGAAAAUAUCAAGCUUCCUACUGUCAGAGACUGCCCUGAGUGCAACGGUUAUGAUCGGUACGAUAGGAUCGAUCGGCAUUAUCAUAAUGAUGAACGGCGAUUUAAUGGGCCGAUCAGAGGAAGGGUGUAAGUUCAUGACCGGCUGGGGGGCAGAUUUAGUGGGCACAACAGACUUAGUGACCGUGUCCAGUAUUUUCCCAGGAACCAAGAGGAGCUCGAGGGAAUGGCUGAUGCGCGGGUUCCCGAUGAAUUCAUAUUUUGCAGGGAUGCUAACACGCAUCGUAUGGAGUCAAGGGAGAACCGACGCCCGACGGCAAGGCAAAGGCCACUUCCUCCAUGGUGCCCUGGAGGAUUAACCAAAACACAGAAAAGGAGAUUGCAACGUAAAAGGCAAGAAGAGCUAAACAAGGGAGAGAACUCUGGAAGUCGGCAGCCGUCAGACACUGAGAGGGAAGGUCCAUCGGCAGGCGUCAACAUGGUCUUCAUGUUGCCGAUGGAGUUUCUUGCACCAGCCAGUGAUGAUGAGUUGGAAUUUUCUAAUCAGAUAGCUUAGUUGGCUCUGGAUCCGAUGACGGCUAUCUUUGAGAAACCUGCCGAUGACGAGAGGCAGCAUCUUAAAGCUCUGUUCCUCAAAGGAAGGGUUGAUGGGCAGCCAAUGACCAAAAUCCUAGUUGAUGGUGGAGCUGCUAUUAAUAUUAUGCCGUAUGCAGUAUAUCGGAAGCUUGGGAAAGGGGAUCAAGAUUUGACCAAGACCGAUAUGAUGCUCAAAGACUUUGAAGGAAACGUGUCUCCAGUCAAGGGGGCGAUAUGUGCAGAGUUGACCAUCGGCAGCAAAACCUUGCCGACAACUUUUUUCGUGAUCAGCGGAAAAGGUGCCUACAACUUAUUAUUGGGAAGAGAUUGGAUUCAUGCCAAUUGUUGUAUCCCAUCUACAAUGCAUCAGUGCUUGGUUCAGUGGGUAGGUGACAAGAUUGAGAUUGUCCCAGGAGAUUCUUCUUAUGUUAUCGCAUCGGCAGAAGCGGAUACUUACGAAAGGACCAGGUGCAUUUCAGGAGAAGUUUGGGAGAAAGAUUUUCUCAAAGUUGCCGAUUAUGAGAUUCCACCGAUCCAAGCAGUCGGUUCUGACGACGGUUUUUAAUGGACAGAUUCGCCGAUGAUGGAAAAUUAGGCCAGGGAUUCACAUCGGCCGAUGAUUUGGUAGAAGUAGAUAUAGGUAGUGGUGAUAAGCCUAGGCCUACUUUUAUUAGUGCUAAAUUAGAUCCUGAGUGUAAGCGACAAUUGACUAGUUUGUUAAAGGAAUACAAAGAUUGCUUUGCUUGGGAUUAUACAGAGAUGCCUGGUUUAGACCGAUCAAUUGUUGAACAUCGGUUACCCAUCAAGUCUGGAUUUCGGCCACAUCAGCAACCAGCCCGCCGAUGUAAUCCUAACAUUCUACCUGAUAUUAAGGCCGAAAUCACUAAACUUAUUGAAGCUAAGUUUAUUCGGCAGUGUCGGUAUGCCAAAUGGAUUUCCAAUGUUGUUCCGGUUUACAAGAAGAACGGGAAGCUUCGGGUGUGCAUUGAUUUCAGGAAUCUCAAUAAAGCUACGCCGAUGGAUGGAUACCCAAUGCCUGUCGCCGAUCUGCUGGUUGAUGCUGCGGCUGGCCAUCGGGUCAUCAGCUUCAUGGAUGGUAAUGCAGGUUAUAAUCAAAUAUUCAUGGCAGAGGAGGAUAUUCCAAAAACCGCAUUCAGGUGUCCUGGUCAUGUUGGAUUAUUUGAAUGGAUAGUCAUGACUUUUGGGUUGAAGAACGCUGGUGCUACUUAUCAAAGGGCUAUGAAUUUUAUAUUUCAUGAGUUCAUCGGCAAGCUCGUAGAGAUUUAUAUUGAUGAUGUGGUGGUUAAGUCUGGAGAUUUCUCAAAGCAUCUUGCCGAUUUACGAAAAGUGUUAGAGUGCACAAGGAAGCAUGGAUUGAAGAUGAAUCCCAACAAGUGUGCAUUUGGCGUAUCGGCAGGGCAGUUUCUUGGUUUCAUGGUACAUCAGAGGGGUAUAGAAAUUAGUCGAAGAUCUAUUGAUGCCAUCAAUAAAAUAGUGGCCCCUACCAACAAAACCGAGCUCCAAUCCUUGAUCGGCAAGGUAAAUUUUAUCAGGAGAUUUAUUUCGAAUUUAUCUGGAAGGAUUCGUGCUUUCAGUCCUCUUCUUAAAUUGAAAGCCGAUCAAGAGUUUGUUUGGGGAGAAGAACAGCAGUUGGCUCUGGAUGAAAUCAAGAAGUAUCUAGUAAAUCCUCCAGUUUUAGUUCCACCUCAACAAGGGAAGCCCUUCAGAUUGUAUCUAUCUACCGAUGGAUCGGUUAUCGGUUCAGCUUUAGUUCAAGAAUUUGAAGGGAGAGAAAGGGUAAUUUAUUAUUUGAGUAGGAGGUUGAUUGAUGCUGAAACCAGGUAUUCGGCCAUUGAGAAACUAUGCUUAUGCUUAUAUUUUUCAUGUAUCAAGCUGAGACAUUACCUGUUAUCGGCCGAAUGUACUGUUGUUUGCAAAGAUGACGUGGUCCGAUACAUGCUAUCUAUGCCGAUUAUGAGUGGUAGGAUCGGUAAAUGGAUUUUAGCGCUGUCGGAGUUCGAUUUGCGUUACGAAUCGGCUAAGGCAGUCAAAGGGCAGAUUAUGGCCGAUUUUGUGACUCAGCAUUGCGGUCUAGUAGAAACCUUGGAAAUUGCACCCUGGACGCUCUUCUUUGAUGGAUCUACCUGUGACCGGGGGGCAGGGAUCGGCAUUGUAUUAGGUUCCCCUAAGGGGAGGAAGUAUGAGUUUUCCUUGCCGAUUGUUGCUACAUCAACAAAUAAUCAGGCUGAGUAUCAAGCUCUGAUCAAGGGAUUGGAGUUGUUAAGAGAAGUUCGUGCUGAUGCUGUUGAAAUAUUCGGGGAUUCUAUGUUGGUUAUAAAUCAAUUGGCCGGAAGCUAUGAAUGCCGAAGUGAAGUUCUCAUAACCUAUUUCGAGAGAAGUAUGCAACUGUUAAAGGAAUUCAAGGACUUCCGACUGGAGCAUGUUCCCCGAUUGCAUAAUGAAGACGCUAAUCGGUUAGCUCAGCAUGCCUCGGGAUAUCAGCCAAUGAUUAAUGCGACAUCGGCAGUCGGUGCCGGUGAUUGGAGGAAAGAAAUUAUUGAUUAUCUAAAAGAUCCAUCCAAAAAAGUUGAAAGACGGGUUCGAUUUCAGGCAACCAAGUAUGUGCUCCUUGAAAAUGAAUUGUAUUAUCGAACUAUCGACGGAAUUCUUCUCCGAUGCUUGGGUGAUGAUGAAGCCAGAAGUUUGAUGGGGGAAAUCCAUGAGGGAGUGUGUGGAGCGCAUCAGUCAGCUUUUAAGAUGAAGUGGAUGAUUCGAAGGAAUGGAUAUUUUUGGCCAACCAUACUUGAAGAUUGUUUUAAAUAUUUCAAGGGAUGUCAAGGUUGUCAAAAGUUUGGUAAUAUCCAGAGAGCACCCGCAUCGGCUAUGAAUCCUAUAAUAAAGCCUUGGCCGUUCCGGGGAUGGGCCAUCGAUCUGAUCGGCCAGAUUUAUCCACCAUCUAGCAAAGGGCAUAAGUUCAUUCUAGUUGCCACUGACUAUUUCACUAAAUGGGUUGAAGCUAUUCCUUUGAAGAAAGUCACAUCGGCCAAUAUGAUUGAUUUUGUGAAGGAGCAUAUUAUUUACCGAUUUGGGAUUCCCCAAACGAUUACUACCGAUCAGGGCACUAUGUUCACAUCGGGGGAGUUCGAUGAAUUCGCAAUCGGUAUGGGAAUUAAAGUGUUGAAUUCUUCUCCUUAUUAUGCUCAAGCCAAUGGGCAGGCCGAAGCGUCUAACAAAGGAAUUAUCAAGCUUAUUAAACGGAAGAUUGAAGAAAAUCCUAAGCGGUGGCAUACAUUAUUAAAUGAAGCAUUGUGGUCUUAUCGGAUGGCUUGUCAUGGAUCGACCAAGGUAUCACCCUAUCAAUUGGUGUAUGGACAUAAUGCAGUGUUGCCUUGGGAAAUUAAGGCUGGAUCUAGGCGAUUAUCUUUUCAAGAUCAAUUAACUUCCGAUGGUUAUGCUACUUUGAUGACCGAUGAAUUGGACGAUCUAGCAGGGCAUCGGUUAAAAGCUUUAAUGAGUAUAGAAGAGAAUAAGAAAAGAGUUGCUAGAUGGUAUGAUAAGAAGGUGAAGGCUAAAGAGUUUGCCGAUGGGGAUUUGGUAUGGAAAUUAAUUUUACCAGUUGGGACCAAAAGCUCGAAGUUUGGAAAGUGGUCUCCUAAUUGGGAGGGUCCUUAUCGGAUAAGUCGAUCGGCUCCUGGUAAUGCCUACAUUCUAGAAACCCUCGAAGGAAUUGAAUUUCCCAGAGCACUAAACGGCAAAUAUUUAAAGAAUUACUACCCCAGUAUAUGGGUCGAUGCAUAGAAGUUUAGGUGCCGAUAACACUCCUAUCGGCUGGAUCCAAAUGCUUGGGGACAAGACUUGGUGUUUCAAAAGUUUAGGCGCCGAUAACAGUCCUAUCGGCUAAACUAAAAGCUGAGGAAGCAGGAAAGCGCAGAUACAAUGCCGAUGGAAACUCUAUGUGUUAAGCAGCGUCUGGAUUGCCAAUAUAGCGCGUAGCCGAAUUUGGUUGGCUGCUUCUAUCUCCUUGAUGUCAUCAUCGGCAGAACCUUCUAUCGGCUUCAGCUUCUUCUUCAGUUGGAGUGCUUUGCGACCAUGAGCAUUUCGCUCGCGCUCAAGAAGCCUGAUGGUCUCUGGCAAUUGGCUCUCUUCCUGUUGGGCUCGGGACAGAGCGUUCUCUACUUCCUUAAGCUCCGCCAAUAGGGACUCUUUUCUUGCCGAUAGAUCGGAUAUCUUCUGCUUCAGCGCGUCUCCAGAAGAUCUCAGGAUGCCGAUGUUCUUGUGCUUCUCAUCGGUCAAAAGCUUUUCUUUCCUCAUUUCAUCGGAGAGUUGAGUCUGAGCGGCUCUAUCGGCAAGCCGCCGAGAAGCUCUUUGGUACUGCAGCUGGCGACUCUCCAGAUGAGCGGCUUGGAACAGGAUUUCUUCAACGUCGGCUGGGACUUGGCCUCUGAGAGUUCUGAACAGGGUCUUGGUAGGGUCGGAAUCAUCAACCAAUUGCGCUGUGUCCUGGUGAAGGAGAGCUGACAAUUCUUCCAGCCUGAACCUGACCUCUGCCGAUGUGAUGCCGACCGACUGAGAAGUGCUUGCUUCUUCACCUUCUUCUUCAGAGAAAUCGAUGGCGAAGGAGAACAGGCUAUCGGGAGAAUCUUGUUCCUGGGAGGCAAAGCAAAAUUAGCCCAUACUUAGAGAAUCGGCAAAUAAUGCUGGCGGUAAACAGUGACUUACUUGCUUCAAGGCGAUCUCUUGCCUUGGACUGGGAGGUGCUGACGGAGCUGCGGGCUGACCGGCCAAAGAUGCCGAUGGAACUACAGGUUGAUCGGCUAAGGUUGCCGAUGGGACGAUAUCGACUGAAAGAAGACAAGAAAGGUUAUGAGACUAAAUAAGAAUAAGUUCAUCGGUAGCGAUAUUGUUAAAGUAUGUUACCUGGAGGAGGGAUAACAAUUGUCUGAAUCGGGAGAACUGCCGAUGGUAUAAUUGGGCCCACCGGGCCAGUUGUUUGUUCACCCGUGUCAGCUGAUGUACCUUCUGUUUGAGAUCCUUCCUGUUGGGGUUCUUCUAUCUGUGGUGCUUCCUGCAUAGGUGGGGGAGAUGGUGCUUGCUGUGGCUGGGCUUCUGGAGAAGAAGGAGAAGACUCCACCGGAAUUGGAGAUACCGGAGGAGGAGGGGGAGUUGCUACCUUCUGGCGCUUUGUUCCAGUCUUAGCACCCGUGGUACCCUUCCUCUUUGGCUGGCUGGAUUGGGUGGCAUCGGCACCUUGACGUGUGACCUUUGCCGAUGCACUGGUUUGCUGCAAUAACGAACAAGGGUUUAUAAGUAUAAAUAAAGCCGAUAUAAAGAUAGUCAGCGUAAAAGAUAAAGAUUUGACAAAUUGCCUUGAAAGCCCGCGCCAGAGUGGGAGCAGCUACCGUUGGUGAUGUCUGGGUUCUCCUAGUUGUAACUUUCCUGAGGCGCACACCCCGAUGCACGAUGGAAGCCAGAGUGGGAGCAUUGUGGCCGAUUGAGGAAAUCGGGCCUGAUGGAAACAAGUCGAUCGGCAUGCCACUCCUGCUAACCGAUGGAGGAAUAUUGUCAACCUGCAAAAGGAAUACAAGGGUAAGCUGCCGAUGGAAGUAAUAGUGAGAAAAUGAAACGUUGGUUUGAGUUACUUACAGUGUCAUCGGGAACUUCGUAUUCGGGGUCAAUCAUGCUGCGGUAUGAAAGUGCCGAUCUGCAGAAUAGAUGCUCUUUCCAUUCUGCCCACCAUAACUUGUAUGCCUGAGUGAUAAAAGCAGCCGGAACCCAUUCUGACAGAUCUACAUCUACAUCGGCGUUUGGUGGUAGUUGGGCUACUCGAGUCCACUCAAGAAGGUUGUUGAUGGUUUCUCUGGGUUUUAUCACAUCGGCAUAAGGAAGUGCAAUCGGCAACUGGCCGAAAGCUAACUGGCGAGCUAAUGCCGAUGGAUUGUAAAAUUCGUAAGUCUGGGGAGAAGUUUUUGUGCUACCGAAGAAAUUCACUGGAAUGGCUCUGGGAGUCACAAUUGCCAUCAUCACCUCAUUAUCCCUGUCGAGAGCUUCAUCAAAUGGAUUGAGGGUCGGAGGGAGCAUGCUAUCUGGGUCAUCAUAAGCCAACCAUGGUCGUUCAUCUCUGGCCAAACCCUCAUACAGAGUCUCGAAGAAUCGGCCGAUCUGAUCCGGAUUACUCCCUGAACCAGGUAGGACUAUGACGGCUUCGCCAAAGUUCAAGGGGGCACGCGUUGCCGAUUCCUCUUCACCCAACACAUGAUUUUCGGCUAUGUCUCUUGGGAAGUGCUGUGAGAACAAGUUGAAAUCAAGGCGCUUAUGCAGGUGCAGAUUGAGCCACAUAUUAAUAAACCACCAGGGGCCUCCCAAGUUGCCGAUGGAUUGGCCAAGCAGGAGUUUCUGGGCUACCUGAUGGAGAAGGUGGUAAACAGCGCCAAGCAGGUAUCGGCCGAGAAGAAAUUGGCCACCGUUAGCUAGUCUCUUUGCUGCCGAUAGAUAGACGGAAGUCGGUCCUGCCGAUCGACCACAGAAUACAAACUUGUCCAGCCACAUGUUCAGAAAGGUGGUUUGCUCCUUUAUGGUGACAGGCCCUCUCCCGCGGUACUUCUGAAUGUACCCUGACCAACCGUCGAUAGCGCGAGUCUCCACUUUGGCACUGGGGGCAGUAUCAAAAAAGUGGGUGCUAUCGGCAGAAGAUAUAUCUAGCCCAGUGAGCAUGGCUACAUCGGCAAGGGUAGGAGAAGCAGGGCCGUGGCCAAAAACAAAAGCAUUGAGGGUGUCUGACCAAAAGUAGGACGCAGCUAUCAGCAGUGACUCGUUCCUGUGCAUAUCGGCAAUGGAUAGCCUAAUGCAUUGGGCUAGCUUCCUUUCACCCCACUGGACUUCAUAAGAAUUGCUGACCCUCAAGAACCAGUCUUUCCACCCUAUGGUAGGGCUAGGCCAAGAGCGAAAAGUGUCUUUCCACAGAUCUAAAGAAAAGUUUUCAGCUCUAAAGGGGAUCCUAUUGGUUUCUGCGUUAAUAAGGUUGGUUGGAUCUGAAUCCCCUAGAGGGCCGAGACAUUGAAGGUGUGGUUGAUCGGUGGGGAUGACAAUUUUAUUGGACAACUCCUAGUGAUUUUGGGGGAAUAAAAAUACAAAGAGAAAAGAAAAGGAGAAUAUUCAGUAAGAUGAAUCGCGGAUGAACAGGAAUAAAAAAAAAUAUACAGAAGAUGAGAUGGAGAUCUGACCUCAGGGACGACGAAGCCAAUGGCCAUCUUGUCGUGAAGAGGACGUUGGAGGGCACCGGAGUUGAUGAAGAGAAGUGCUUGUCGGAGGUCUUGAAGGUUGUAAAUGGCGCCGCCACUGGAAAAGUAAAGUUGGGUAGUAGAAUGGUGUGAUGGGGAAGGAGUACCCAAGAAGGAACUAUUUAUAGGACAAGAUGGGCAAGGGCAAAUCCGACUUAUCUCUUUGCCACAUCCGAGAAACCCGAGGGUACUCAGGUGGAUAUGGUAACUGUUCGCACGGUAAUCUAGGGAUUCUGCAGGUGAUUUGAUGGGAAGCGGUCAUUAUCUGAAGAUAUUUUACUGUGCGAGAUCUCCUGGUCGGUCCAUCGGCGAUAUUCUAUAACGGUCAUCUUGCCGAUGGGCGGAUAGGGGGGAAGUAACCGUUUUUGCGAAUAUCCUGGUCAGAGCAUCGGCAGAUCUUUGUAACGGUAUUGUUGCCGAUGUACGACUGAAAAAAAUGCCCGUUUAGGAAGUUGGGGAUUUCGAGGAAUCUGCGGAGGAUUAGGAUCAGAGUUGUCCAGAUUGAGGUUGUCGGUUACCAGAUUAGGAGCAUUAAUUGCGGAGAAGGCAUCAUUACUGCAGAGAAUUUCGGAGCAUUAAUAGUUUUAUACUCCGAAACUGGAGGGCAUGUGUUGACACCGUUUUUGGGCACGUGUCUAGGAUGGCAGGAUAGGGUGGCAGUACGAUGCGGGUUGCCGAUGAGGAUGGUUGCCGAUGAGGGAGAGGUUGAAUGUGACUAAGUCCACAGGCAGUAAUAUGGUGCCGAUGGCUGGAUAAAAAGGUCUGCCGAUGACUAUGGCAAAGGGAUUGCCGAUGAUGCAAAGGAGGUGUCGAGGGUAUCGGUAAGGGGUACCCUCAGCGAUGCGCAUUAUGAGAUUGCCCGUACGAAGGUCGAGACCCUUAAUUCGAUGCUCUAAUCUUACGUAUGCGCCGCCAUCGACGGUCGCAGCCUCGAAGACGGAAAUAGCGUCGAGCGAAUCGGUUCAGGACUCGAGUGACGACUGCCGUCGAUGACGGAAGCGGGCUCGAGCGAACCAAGAGGUGUCGGGCGCGAGGACACUGUCCGCCGCCCGACGCGCGCACGCGAGCCGGAGCAUUAAAUGCACCUGACGCUUCCCCACCUAACACACAGGUCAUGGAAGGCGUGAUAGGGAGCAAGCUUCUGUCCCAUCGUUCUUUUUGCAGCCUUCCCACCGAACGACCCAGGGCAUGUCAGGACGCAGGAAACAAGGAUGGAACGUCUAAUCGGGACCCCCUCGAGACACCCAAGGUCAGCGCUCCAGAUACCAGCAUAUUACACGGCGUCCGACCCUCGACCAAACAGGGCCCCUUCCUAGGGACAAGUUGGGCGUCGACUGACUUCAUCACAACUACCCCGUCGGGUCCGCCACCAUACCGUACAAGCAUGCGACCUCAGAACCAGCACAAGGCAGCUGGCAGGGCAGAACACAGGAGCACGCGUAAUCAUCACCGAGCUAUCAAGAUGGGACGGCUCGAGGCCAUGCCAUACGGAAGCUUCGAGUAGGUCAGCGCUCUAUGCGGCUAUCGAUCCCUACUCUAACAUCUAUGCAUGUAACUUGUGUCUCUCCUUGGAACUAUAAAAGGAGAGACUCAGGAAUAGAAGAGGAGGACAUCACAACACAAGAACACACACACACACAUGUAGUAGAGCUACACACUUCAUACCACGCUUGUAUUCGCCCCUGUACAAGCACUUAGGUGCAAGAUAAUACAAACUCUCUCCCCCCGCUGGACGUAGGGCCUUCUCUUGCCCGAACCAGGAUAAAUCUCAGUGUCUUCUUGCAUCACCCUCCGGAAAGGGGAGCACGCAUAUAAAUUUACUCGUUGGUGUGACCCCCCGGGGGAAAAAACACCGACAGUUGGCGCGCCAGGUAGGGGUCCUGCGUGUUUUUCACCGAUUUCCCACCACUUUCCGGAUGGCUACUCUUGCCUCGCCGCUUCCGCGCUCCACGGUGAUUUGGUUUGGGAGUCUCGAGUUCAUGUCUACGGGCUCCGGCUACGACAUGAUCUUGCUUUCAGUCAAAGGACCGGGAGGAGUCCGCGUUACGCCAGCACGGUUGAAGGCUCCGAGACGCCCUCACCACCACGCCUCCCCGCCUAAGAAGAGGCGCGGGCAGCACCACCGCGGCCCCUCUGCUUCAGCACGACCAACAACUCACGCAAGGCAGGAUGUGGGCCACAAGGCAGCGACACCGUGUGACCGAGCAACAAGCACGACGACUCAGCACCACGCGACGACGGGGGGAGACGCGUCUCGCGCGCCCUCCCCCACCGCAGCUAGGCUACUUCCACAGUAGUUGUUCUCUCCAAGGGCGGCACUGCCGUUCGGGUUGGACAACGCCGCGGCGUCGCUCGCCAAGACGAUAUGCCCAAACGCUCAGACGUACGUGGAAAGACCAAUGGUCAUCCCACGUAGCUCUGAAGUGCGGCGGCCGGCGUCCGAACUGCCGGACCUUUCCCGAGUACGAGGCCUCCGCCGUCUAGGCCCCGGACGAUACUCGAUCACCUCCCUCAGGCAACGAUGGCUGGAGGAAGGACGUGGGUGUUUCCACGCUGCCGAACCGGACUCCGACUCCGAGACAGACAGCUAUGACCCUACGAGGGAAUGCUAUCACCUCGACGGGGCGGCAGAAACCACCGACGAGACACGGGAUGCUGCUGCGGGUGGUCGAGCCCCCGCGGCGCAAGAAGACCCCAGGACGCCUGGGAACGACGGACGACUCGACCCUCUUCCUCAGGAAGAUAGAACUGCGCAGCUCGCGCAGCUGCGGGAGCUCAAGAUGAAGCUCGACGAAGAUCGCGAGCGCCUCGUCCUGCUCGAGCAAAUCCUCGAACAAGACCUGCCCUACGCGCCGGGCGGAAGUGUCCGCAGACGCGCUCGAGAGGUACAUCGACAGAUCGUCGGUGACACAGAGGCGGAGCAACCUGUCGGCCGUUUCCCUCGAGCAGGCCAGAAUGUAGUGGCAGCGACGAUGCUGCUACGUAACAUGCCAGAACCAUCAAAUUCCCAGGCCCGACGAAUUCGAGAUGAAGUUCAGACAUUGCUCCAGGUGGCAGCAGUUCAACAAGCCGAAAGCUCGGCAUCUCGACGGCGAGGAGCUGCCACAGAGAAGCGCGACGAACAGCCUCUAAUCAAAGAGGAGGUGUCUGUCCAGCAACAACCUCCCCCUCGAGGUAGAAAGACCGCUCUCAUCCUCCCUGCCGACAAUCAACGUCGACACGACGCGCGACACGACAUCAAAGAAAAUAGACGCCGCCGGCACGGAGACGCGGAAGAACGUGGUUAUAGCGCGCAUCGCGGUGGGAGGUACGACAGCGACGAGGACCGGGUGGCCCCCGAGCCACCGGGCCCGCGGGUGUUCAGCAGGGCGAUUCGCAGCACGCCCCUGCCUAGUCCAUUCCGACCCCCAACCAGCAUCGCGAAGUACAAUGGAGAAACCAAGCCAGAGCUAUGGCUGGCCGAUUUCAGGCUGGCUUGUCAGCUAGGUGGCGCUCGAGGGGAUGAUCGAGCCAUCAUCAGACAACUACCCCUUUUCCUCUCCGACACCGCCCGUCGAUGGCUCGAGGAACUCCCAGCCAACCAGAUUCACAACUGGGUUGAUCUGGUCAGAGUCUUCGAGGGUAAUUUCAAAGGGACCUAUAUACGGCCAGGUAACUCGUGGGACCUCAGCAAGUGCAAGCAGAAGUCAGGAGAGACUCUUCGGGAGUACGCUCGACGCUUCUCGAAGCAGCGCACUGAGUUGCCACACAUCCCCGACCACGACGUCAUCUUGGCGUUUGUCUCGGGCACCACCAGUCGAGACUUGGUGCGGGAAUUAGGCCGCAAUCGACCUCAGACCGUCGACGAGCUGAUGGACGUAGUAGCUAACUACGCGGCAGGGGAGGAGGCAGUCGGCGCCUUCUUCAGCUCAGAAGGAAGAAGAGGCAAGCAGCCCGUCAAUGAAGAUGGGACUUCCAGUCGAGGCCUCAAGAAAAAUAAAAAGAAGCAGAAAGUGCGGCAGUUCCACCAGGAAGACUCGGGUGACGACCUCGUCGCCGCCAUGGAUCUAAAGAAGCCGCGAGGCCCUCCGGAGGGAGGCAUCUUCGACAAGAUGUUGGAGGAGCCAUGCCCUUACCAUAAGGGAGGCGCUAACCACAAACUCAAGGACUGUCGUAUGCUGAGAAAGCAUUUCGACGGUCAGGGGUUCAAAAAAGAUACGCGUGAGGACUCCAAGAAGGAGAAGGCCGGCGGCAAGGAGGACAACAAAGAUGACGACGGCUUCCCCGCCGUCCACGACUGCUACAUGAUUUAUGGCGGGCCUUCGACUCAGUUGACCGUGAGGCAGCGCAAAAGGGAGCGUCGCGAAGUCUUUGCAGCAAGAAUGGCGGUGCCCCAGUAUCUUAACUGGUCGAGCACUCCCAUCACUUUCGACCGAGAAGACCACCCUGACAAGGUAGUCGCCCCAGGCGUCUACCCGCUCGUCGUCGACCCCAUCAUCGUCAACACCCGACUCUCGAAAGUACUGAUGGAUGGUGGCAGCAGCCUCAACAUCAUCUACCUCGAGACCCUCGAUCUCCUCGGCAUCGAUAGAGGAUGCCUCCAGCCAAGCGCCGGCGGUUUCCAUGGCGUCGUACCAGGGAAAAAGGCACUGCCAGUAGGUCGAAUCGACCUACCGGUCUGCUUCGGCACGGCGGCCAACUUCAGGAAGGAGACCCUCACCUUUGAGGUGGUUGGGUUCCGAGGCACGUACCACGCCAUCAUCGGGCGCCCGGGCUACGCCAAGUUCAUGGCUAUACCCAACUACACAUACUUGAAGCUGAAGAUGCCUGGUCCCAAAGGCGUCAUCACUGUCAGUUCCUCCUUCGAGCACGCGUACGAGUGCGACGUCGAGUGCGUCGAGUACGGGGAGGCGGUCGAGAGCUCCACCGAGCUCGUAGCAAAGCUCGAGGCCAUGGCCGCUGAGGCUCCAGAGCCUAAACGUCAUGCGGGCAGCUUCGAGGCGGCGGAAGGAACUAAGAAGAUCCCGCUCGACCCCAACAACUUCGACGGCAAGGUGCUGACGAUCAGCACCGACCUCGACCCCAAAUAGGAAGCCGUGCUCGUCGACUUUCUCCGUGCAAAUGCUGAUAUGUUUGCAUGGAGUCCCUCGGAUAUGCCGGGCAUACCGAGGGAAGUCGCCGAGCACUCCUUGGAGAUUCGAGCCGGUUCCAAGCCAGUGAAGCAGCGGUUGCGCCGAUUCGAUGAGGAAAAGCGCAAGAUCAUUGGCGAGGAAGUCCACAAGCUUUUGACGGCCGGAUUCAUCAAGGAGGUUCAUCAUCCUGACUGGUUAGCGAACCCUAUAUUAGUUAAGAAAAAGAAUGGGAAAAUGAGGAUGUGUGUCGAUUAUACUAGUUUGAAUAAAGCAUGUCCAAAAGUUCCCUUUCCAUUGCCACGCAUUGAUCAGAUUGUCGAUUCUACCGCGGGAUGUGAAACCCUUUCUUUCCUUGAUGCUUAUUCUGGUUACCACCAAAUAAAAAUGAAAGAGUCCGACCAGCUCACGACCUCUUUCAUCACGCCUUUCGGGAUGUAUUGCUACGUGACCAUGCCAUUUGGGCUUCGAAACGCGGGAGCCACGUAUCAACGUUGCAUGCUCCACGUAUUUGGCGAACAUAUAGGCUCAACGGUCGAGGCCUACGUCGACGACAUUGUCGUCAAGUCAAAGCGACGAGGAGACCUGAUCCAGGACCUCGAGGUUGCCUUCUGCUGCUUACGCACCAGCCGGAUCAAGCUUAAUCCCGAGAAGUGUGUUUUCGGCGUGCCUCGAGGCAUGCUCCUAGGAUAUAUUGUUUCACGGCGCGGUAUCGAGGCCAACCCCGAGAAAGUAUCGGCCAUCACGAAAAUGGGGCCAAUCCGAGACAUCAAGGGUGUGCAGAGAGUCACGGGGUGCCUGGCGGCUCUGAGCCGUUUCAUCUCGAGACUAGGAGAAAAGGCAUUACCAUUAUAUCGACUCCUGAAGAAGGUCGAGCGUUUUUCUUGGACCCCCGAGGCCGAGGAAGCGCUCGAAAAACUGAAAAAGACGCUGACCUCGGCACCAGUCCUGGUUCCACCUCAACCUGCGGAGCCACUGCUCCUCUACGUCGCGUCGACGACCCAGGUCGUCAGCGCGGCGGUGGUGGUCGAAAGACAAGAGGAGGGUCACGCGCUGCCAGUCCAAAGGCCAGUCUAUUUCGUCAGCGAGGUGCUUUCGGAGACCAAGACGCGUUACCCCCAAAUCCAGAAGCUGAUCUACGCCGUAAUCCUUGCCCGCCGCAAAUUACAGCAUUACUUCCUUGGUCAUCCUAUCACGGUGGUCUCUUCUUUCCCCUUGGGCGAGAUAAUCCAGAGCAAGGAGGCCACGGGAAGGAUAGCAAAGUGGUCGGUCGAGCUCAUGAGCGAGACUCUCACUUACGCGCCUCGAAGGGCCAUCAAAUCGCAAGCCCUGGUAGACUUCGUCGCGGAAUGGACAGACUCCCAGCUUCCCCCGACUCAGGUCCAGGCGGAGUUGUGGACAAUGUAUUUCGACGGGUCACUCAUGAAAACUGGGGCCGGGGCCGGCCUGCUGUUCAUCUCGCCCUUGGGCGUCCACAUGAGGUAUGUAAUCAGGAUUCAUUUUGCCGCAUCUAACAAUGUCGCAGAAUAUGAGGCCCUCGUCAACGGUCUUAAGAUCGCUAUCGAGUUAGGAGUCCGACGCCUCGACGUCCGAGGUGACUCCCAACUCGUCAUCGACCAGGUAAUGAAAACCUCGAGUUGCCAUGACCCAAAAAUGGAAGCAUACUGCAAGGAGGUGCGUCGACUCGAAGACAGGUUCCACGGCCUCGAGCUUGUCCAUGUCGCUCGACGCUACAACGAGGCAGCCGACGAACUCGCCAAGAUUGCAUCUACCAGAGGCACAGUGCCGCCUGAUGCAUUCUCAAAGGAUCUUCACGAGCCAUCCGUCGACCUAGGCACGGGGGCUGGCGUCGACACCACCAUCGCCCAACCAACCAAUGCUGUCGACGCGCUCUUGAUGGAGGAAGAGGUGAUGGAAAUAGAACGACGACCGGGUCGACCAUUCGAUUGGCGCACACCGUUCCUCGACUGCCUCAUCCGCGGUGAGUUGCCAGAAGACAAGACAGAAGCUCGUCGUAUCGCUCGACGGGCCAAAUCCUAUGUGAUCUAUGGCGAAGACAACGAGCUAUAUCGACGGAGCCCGACGGGGGUCUUACAACGUUGCAUCACCGUAGAAGAAGGUCGAAAACUCCUCGAAGACCUGCACUCGGGGGCUUGUGGCCACCACGCCGCCCCACGGACCCUUGUAGGAAACGCUUUUCGGCAAGGUUUUUACUGGCCAACGGCUGUGGCGGAUGCCAUCGAGCUUGUACGCUCGUGUCAUGGGUGCCAAUUCUACGCCAAACAGACGCACCUGCCCGCACACGCUCUUCAGAUGAUCCCCAUCACCUGGCCGUUUGCGGUAUGGGGGCUCGACUUAGUAGGACCUCUACAAAAGGCGAAAGGAGGGUAUACCCAUUUGCUGGUGGCUAUCGACAAGUUUUCCAAAUGGAUCGAGGCUCGACCCAUCACCAACAUCCGCUCCGAGCAGGCCGUCCUUUUCUUCUCCGACAUCAUCCAUCGGUUUGGGAUCCCCAAUGUCAUCAUCACCGACAACGGCACCCAGUUCACUGGCAGAAAGUUCUUGGGUUUCUGCAAUCAGCAUCACAUCCGUGUGAACUGGUCCGCAGUAGCCCACUCUCGAACUAACGGCCAGGUCGAGCGUGCCAACGGCAUGAUUCUGCAAGGACUCAAGCCAAGAAUCUACAAUCGAUUGAAGAAGUUCGGCAAGAAGUGGGUCGAGGAGCUUUCCUCAGUCCUAUGGAGCCUUAGGACAACGCCAAGCAGGGCCACAAAAUACACCUCGUUCUUCAUGGUCUACGGCUCUGAAGCCAUCCUCCCCACAGACCUCGAAUAUGGGUCACCACGACUCAAGGCUUACAACGAGCAAUCGAACAAAGAGACUCAGGAAAACGCGGUCGACCAACUCGAGGAGGCUCGAGACAUGGCCCUCCUCAACUCUGCUAGAUAUCAGCAGAGACUCCGACGCUACCACGACAAGCACGUGCGCAAGAGGGACCUCAACGUAGGCGACCUUGUCCUACGACGCCGGCAAAGCAACCAAGGACGCCACAAGCUGACCCCACCUUGGGAAGGCCCGUAUGUGGUGGCCGAGGUCCUUAAGCCAGGAACGUACAAAUUGGCGGACGAAAAGGGGGCAGUCUUCACCAACGCAUGGAACAUCGAACAGCUACGUCGAUUCUACCCCUAGAAGUCCUAGAUUUACGAUCCUACUUUUUGUACCGGGACUUUGUAAACGAAUGCAUGAAUAAAUGAAGUCUUUCCCUCGAGCAACUUCUUUUUGUACCAAAGGUUUACACGUCAUAACCUCGACGUUAGAAGGGGGCUCUGACUAUGACCUAUCAUAGUCAACACCCCCUCGGGGGCUACUGGGGGACGACCCCCCCCCCCCCCCAAGUAUCGAAAAAAGCCAAAAAGUUUCUCUCUUUCUUACUUAGUAAACCUUGAACGAUCGAGUAGUUGAGGCGCCUCGAGCCCCUCGAGGACCGAGGGAUAACGAGCCUGAGAACUCCUACGCCCCCGGGCUAUGGAAACUCUACUCACUCCCUCACCCUCGAGGCGAUCGAAGCUGUCUUUUACGAAAAAUUGAACAAGGAACACAUAUGUAGGCGCAAAAAGAAAUAAAAGAACCUCGAGUGGAAAGACAAAUAAACAUCUAACAAUCACAAAAAGAUAUUGUAUCGCUUAAAAACAGGAUUAACAAAGUCUUAUACAAGGGGCCCCAGGCACCCCGAGCAGGCUCGCAGGCCUCAGUCCAUGGUACGAUCCUCGCCACCCUCACCUCCGCUCGAGCCAGUCUCAGGAGGAAGCACCUCAGGCUCAAAUAGCUUGGCCAGCCUCUCUCCAGGAGCCUCCGCAUCGUCGAUCAAAGCGUGGAGCCUUUCUUCGUUCUCCGCGUCGGUCUUAGAGAUGUCGGUGACGAAGCCGUGGGAUACUACCUCCAUGUCGUAGGAGAAGCCCGAGCAGACAACCGCCAUCGCCCGCUUCACCCCGAUGUGGAGGGCAUCCCGCACCCGAUCUCGCAGCGUCGCACCUAAGUAGCACAGCUGGUCGACCAGUGCGUCGCCUCGAGAGUCCUCCCUCGACUCAUCCAUAGGCUCGACUUCCCAAGAGGUCGAGAGAUCGCUUAUCGCCGUCCGCACUCGACGGUUCAAAGCAACCUCAGCCUCGAGCUGAGCCUUGGUGUUGCGAGCCUCGGCUUGGGCGGCCAGGAGUUCGUCCUUGAGCCCUAUAAAUACCAAUACAAAGAAGCUUUAGAAAAAACUCAAGCACACCUCGAAAAGGAAAUUCGACAAAGGAAACACACCUUUGAUGCUCUCCUCUAGGGCUGUGUUCUCGCCGACCAAUCUGGUGUUGGCACGCUCGAUCUCUCUGUUGGAGCGCGCCAGCUCAGUAUUGGCGACGCGGAGAUCUUCGAUCACCCUGCCAGCCUGAGCGACGGCUCCACUCUUCUCCAACAAUUCUCCCUUCAGACGCUCGACAUCGUCAGAGAGACUGCGGGAUCGAGCUCGCUCCGUCUCGAGAUCUUCGAGGGCCUUCUUCUUUGCGUCCUCGGCGGCACCCCUGGCAACCUCAUUGUCCACGAACGCCACUUUCAUCUUUUGGAAGGUAUCGCGGAGGGAGUCUAGGUCAGUUUGGAGAAGGCCCUUCUCCUUGUCCAGGUCCGCGAUGACGCUCUUGUGGGACAGGGCCUCCUCCCGGGCUCUGGACGCGGCCUCCUCGACCGUAAGAGCCCGCUCCCGUAGCCGCAUCGCCUCCUCCUCCGCCUUCUUCGAGACCUCUCGGGCCUCGGCCAGAGCAGCCUCCCUCACCUUCUUCUCCUCCUCGAGUGCUAUGAGAUCUUUGUAAGCUUUAAGCAGCUUUUCCUGCGACUCGAGGAGUUGAUCCUUGACGAGGGGAAGCUGCUCCCAUCCGCCCCUCGUGGCAUGUAUGAAGCUGGACUUGAUGCGAGAGGUCUCUUUCAUAUCCUGCGAAUCAGGGGUCAGGGGGAUUAGAACACAGAAACCCGAAAGCACCACAAAGAUUGGAGCUCGAGAAACACUUACAAAAUAAGCUGGCCCAAGCCCGUUGUUGAUAACGUCCGAUAGGAGCCCCACCACGUGUUUCAUCCAAAGGCGGAGCUCCUCGACAUGCUCCCACUUCUCGACUUCCUUCUUGUCAUCGAGGAAGAUAUUGGGCUCGGACGGGUCGCUGGAAGCUCGGAUACGAAUCCGAUCGGGACACCAGUUCUCCAUCUCCCGAUCAGCCCGCACCUUGACGCCGCGGAGAACGUUCUCGACGGUCUCGAGGGAACCCCCGUGGCGCAAGAACAGGUCGGCGAGGCAAGGGAACCGCCCGUCGUCGUCCACCGUCUUCCACGUACCGUCCUUGCUUCCAGACGACCCGAUCUCAUCCUCCUCAGAGGGAAAGCGGUCCUCCCAUGCUCGACGCUCCCGGAGGAAUCCUGGGGCGAUCCCGUCCAUGCCGUAGAUGGUCCUCUUGAUCUCGGACUCGGGGUCGGUGGGGGUGCGCAUCAGGCAGGCGAGCGCCACCACUCCGUCCGCUCGCCCCGACUCUGCCCGGAUCGCGGCAGGCGCCCCCGGGAGGAGCCACGCUGGGGUGGGAGGUCCGUACACCGGCAAACCUCCCUCUUGAUCGCCGGGCUCUUGCGACGCCAGUGGCGCCGGUUCGGCCAAAACUUGAGGCGGAGGCUCGAGUGGCUCGUCCUCUUGGCCCCCCAGCUGCUGUUGUUGCCCCAGCUGCUGCUGCCGCUCCUCCUGCUGGUGCUGCAGCUGCUCCUCCGGCUGAGGUCGCUGCUGCAGCUGCUCCAAUGACGGCUGCGUCGCCUCGCGCUCCCGCUCCUCCUCCUCCACCAUCUUCCUUUGCGCCUCGAGAGCUCGAAGGCCUGCAGGCCAGGGAGUCCGUCCUGCGACGUUGGGGGUCGAUGCUUCUUCCUCCAUAGGCCGAGCGCCCCCAGACGCUUCGUUGCCAUCAGACGUAUCGCUGAUGGUGAUGGGCUCCCCCUCGACCCCCAAUCGGAAGGGCUCGGGGGCUCCCUCUGACGUUCGCGUCUGGGGGGCCGCAUCAUGAGUCGGCGACGGCGGAGUAGGCGCGGGACGAGAUAAAGCCCUCUCGACGCCGGCUGGAGGUUGGGUGCUGGAUGAACCUACAAAACAAAGGGUAAGGGUCAGACGUUAUGGUAACCAACGUAAGAAUAUCGCGACACCCAGGAAUUAACUACGAACCUGGUUCCGUGGAGGCGGCACCCGUUCUGAGCCUCUUGGCCAUUGAUGGCUGGGCCUGCUCGAGGGUCCGUUUCAGCCUGAGAAAAAGUCGACAUGUGAGGAAAGGUGAAAGAAUGGGGACAAAGACCGCAACAUCAAAAGGGGCUUACCCCACGGGGAGAACGGCUCGCCUUCCGCCACCCCGACCAGCGGGCCUCGAGCCACCUCGCGUCGGGGCUCUAGGCCCCUCGAGGGCAGGAACUGGCUUAGGUACAUCGGUCCCCGCCUGGCGGGCGCCGGGACUCGCGCUCCUACGGCCGGCGUCUCCUUUCUCAGAGGCUGCGGCGCGACCGCGAGUUAACGGCCCCGACGCCUGGGACCUAGCCGGACCGCUCUCCCUGGGCGCUGGAGGAGGGCGCGGUGCGUCUUGACCCGUCUUGAGCGCGGAAGGAGCGUCGGCCCGGGGACGACGAGAUCCGCUCGGACCCUCCCCUGGCGCCUCCGUCCGGGGGGCGUCGACGUCACCUCGAGGCGGGCCAUCGAGAAUCCGAUCGAGGCGCGACGCCAUCCCCUCGGAGUCGUCGCUACCCUCGUCGUCGUCAUCAUCGUCAUUGGGGGAUUCUUCCUCAGGCUCCCCCCUCUGCCUGGAUUUGGCUCGACGCGCCUCUAAUGCUUGGCGGUCGAGGUUCUUCUUCUUCUCCCCCUUCUUUGCGGAGUCCUUGGCAGACUUCAGCUUUUCGGCGGACUGGCGCCGUUUAUCGCGAUCGACCUCGUCAUCCUUUACCGGAGGCCUCGAGGACCGGACAUCAAUCCGACCCUGCCAAAACUAAGGUAGACUUAGAAAAAAGAGAGGGGGGAAAGGAAACCCAGAAUCGGGGAUGCGCGUAAGAAGAAAGCGUACCAGAUCGAUCGAGCCUGCGUCAGGUCUCAUGGGGAAGCCGUUGACAUGCUCCGGCUGAAAAUCACCGGCAAUUGCGGCCCUGACUCGGCCCGCGACUUCGUCGUCCGCCGGAGGCUCGUUGGACAUCCGACAUGCCUCGAGGUCCCGAGAUGAGACGCCAGGGCCCAUCUCGUCCAUCCUCAACGGUCGUGACAUCAGAGGGAGAACUCUCCGAUGAUGGACGGCCGAGAGGACGAGGGCGGCGGUCAAACCUUCCUGGCGAAGCUUCUUCAGGGCGUCGAGGAGAGGGUCGAGCCGAGACUGAUGAGCUUGGACGACGCCGUACGUCCAGUCCGCUGGGCGCUCCAAGAUCAGACGGCCCGAGUAGGAAGGUAGGAGGUUGUCGUCGUUCCGCAGGUAGAACCAUUGGGAGUCCCAGCCGGCGUGGUUGGUCGACAACCCUACCGGGAUGUACUCCCGCGGCCGGUCCGUCUUCCCCGUCUUCUGCACCAGAUUGAGGCAACCCGCCCGCACGGGCUUCCUUACGCCCGUGGUUCCGGUGGAGGCGUGAAACAGCUCGCCCCUGUAGAGGUGGAGCCACAGCUCCCAGUGCGACAUCAUCCCUAGGAAGCCCUCACACACGGCGGCGAAGACCGCCGCUAUGGUGAUGGCGUUCGGAGAGAAGUGCUGGAGCUCCACCCCAUAAUGGAAGCAGAGGGCCCGCAUGAAGCGGCUUGGAGGCGCGCCCAGACCGUGGCGGUGAAACUUGGCGAACGACACCACGUAGCCCUCGGGUGGCUGAGGCGCCCUGUGACUCGCCGGCGGCGCGAUCCACUCUGGCGACGACAGCGAGGUGCGGCGGCGCAGCAGUCCUUCCUUCUCGAGCUCUAACAGCCGGCGCUCCGUCAUCGACGAUGGGCGCCAGUCGUCGGCGGCGACGAGUCUUACAGGCAUCUCGGCUAAAGGGACGGUGGGUUCGCUACGGCUCGAGGGGGCGUGUGCGCGUGAGAUGACGAGAAAGCAAAGGCAGCAAAGGAACAAGAGCGAGAAGGCGGAAGGGAGAGGAACGGCGGUGACGCGACGACGUAUUUAUAGGCAGCUGUCCGCCAACGGACAGAUCCGAGAAGUAAGGUAACUCCCCCCAUAAAUGCGCCGCCUGACAGCCCUCUCUCUCUCCUCACAGGCCGGACUCUCCGAAUUCCUCGCCGAUACGGUGUCGUAACGUCAUCCACCUAAAAAGACGCGCCCAACGGGCAGAAAGGCGAACCGCCACGGCCGUUUCCUUCCCUCGUAAGCCAAGGGACAUAACCGCAAAAGUCUCGAGAGGUCGAUGGCUGGCCCGCCGAAAGGGUUCGACAGCCGAUCUCGAGCGCCAGAGUCAGGGAUCCCCAGCGAGCGGUCGAAGAUCGAGGCCCGCCUCGAGGACUCGCUGGCGAUGUUCAAGGUAGGGUCGAGACAGUCGAGAGGAAUCCCCCCGAAGGGAGGCAUCGAGCCGCUGGACUCUAUCGAAUGAGACCGGUAUCCCCGACCACGUCGACCCUGCUUUAUGAGGGCGCCUCCGGGCUACAGCUGACCCCCUCGAAAGGGGCACAGGUUCUCACUUGGACUACCCGCUAGGAACUCAAUUUGGGAUGGAAGACGCUCGCUCUAUCGAGAGUACGUCGAAACCCCCGGGCAAAAACGAGCCAAUCGGAAUCUUCCACCACUGGUGUCGAAAGCGUUUCUGCGAAUUAGAUAACAUAGCCCUCGAAGGAGUCAAAAACUCCCUCGAGGGCUCGGGGGCUACUGUCGAGGGUACCGGUAAGGGGUACCCUCAGCGAUGCGCAUUAUGAGAUUGCCCGUACGAAGGUCGAGACCCUUAAUUCGAUGCUCUAAUCUUACGUAUGCGCCGCCAUCGACGGUCGCAGCCUCGAAGACGGAAAUAGCGUCGAGCGAAUCGGUUCAGGACUCGAGUGACGACUGCCGUCGAUGACGGAAGCGGGCUCGAGCGAACCAAGAGGUGUCGGGCGCGAGGACACUGUCCGCCGCCCGACGCGCGCACGCGAGCCGGAGCAUUAAAUGCACCUGACGCUUCCCCACCUAACACACAGGUCAUGUAAGGCGUGAUAGGGAGCAAGCUUCUGUCCCAUCGUUCUUUUUGCAGCCUUCCCACCGAACGACCCAGGGCGUGUCAGGACGCAGGAAACAAGGAUGGAACGUCUAAUCGGGACCCCCUCGAGACACCCAAGGUCAGCGCUCCAGAUACCAGCAUAUUACACGGCGUCCGACCCUCGACCAAACAGGGCCCCUUCCUAGGGACAAGUUGGGCGUCGACUGACUUCAUCACAACUACCCCGUCGGGUCCGCCACCAUACCGUACAAGCAUGCGACCUCAGAACCAGCACAAGGCGGCUGGCAGGGCAGAACACAGGAGCACGCGUAAUCAUCACCGAGCUAUCCAGAUGGGACGGCUCGAGGCCAUGCCAUACGGAAGCUUCGAGUAGGUCAGCGCUCCAUGCGGCUAUCGAUCCCUACUCUAACAUCUAUGCAUGUACCCUGUGUCUCUCCUUGGAACUAUAAAAGGAGAGACUCAGGAAUAGAAGAGGAGGACAUCACAACACAAGAACACACACACACACGUAGUAGAGCUACACACUUCAUACCACGCUUGUAUUCGCCCCUGUACAAGCACUUAGGUGCAAGAUAAUACAAACUCUCUCCCCCCGCUGGACGUAGGGCCUUCUCUUGCCCGAACCAGGAUAAAUCUUAGUGUCUUCUUGCAUCACCCUCCGGAAAGGGGAGCACGCAUAUAAAUUUACUCGUUGGUGUGACCCCCCGGGGGAAAAAACACCGAUAGGAGGAGUCCGGAAGCUGCCAGUUGUCAUGUGGAGGAGUUUCGGUUUGUCACGAAGGAUAGUUUUGUUAUUUCCUUAAUUAUUUGCAUCGUUUUGUAUACGGAUUCCGUGUAAUUUGGAAUUCGAAUUCUAAUCGUGUCUGGUUGUAGCUCUUUGAGCAGGGUAUAAAUAUAAACCCUAGGGCCUUGUAAGAAUCAAUCAAGAAAUCAAUCAAAUACACGUUUUUACUCAUAUUCCAGCAUCUACUUUUCGACGACUUCGUCAUACCUUUUUUUUCUUUUUAUUACGAGUUCUUAGGAAUUCGUCGACUUAAGCUCGGCGUGUUCUCAAGUUCCGCGUGAGUACCUCUUAGCCGUGACAUCCGGGCGCAUCGCUGUUGUCAGGACUAAAGUAUUCGAGUUAUCACCUUUGCCGAUAGUAAGGUCAAAUCGGCUGGCACGCCUUAACGUUUGAAUCGGGUAUUAGCCCUUUGUGUUUGCAGAUCAGUUUUGCAUCAACACUGAUCUUGGCAGUACUAGCGUAGAUGACAGCUCUUGAGGUGUUCAGGAAUGGCCUCCCUAGGAUGAUGGGUGCCCUCUCAUCACUAUCAGUCUCUAUCACCACGAAGUCUGUUGGAGCGUAUAAGGUACCAACUCGGACAUAGAGGUUCUUCAAUAUUCUCUUUGGAAAACUUAGCGUACGAUCUGCAAGCUGCAAACAUAUGGCUGUUUCUAAUAAAGGAUGUGCAAAGAAUUUUUCAUAGAGUACCCUGGGCAUAAUGUUGACGCUGGAGCCAAGUCAUAGAGUGCUUCUGGGAAGUCCAAGAUCGGGAUGACGGGGCGUCCUGGAUCGCCUCUUGACCGGCAGAAGGUCAGUAAUUACUUCCGCCACGGGGUUACUCCAGUAGUUAUGUCCUCAAGCAUCUCAGGGUAGUGAUUGCCUGAGUGUCCAGUAUCUCCAGUGUGUUUGUGCUCAUAGAUACAAGUUCUUCACUUGGUGGAGUCUGGAAGUUGUAAAACUCCUUCAUAUUUUGCUCGAAGUGUACCUGCUCAUAGAGACAAGGCAGAGAUCAAGUGCAUGGGCCCUGUUGGUGGAAAACACCAACAGAACCAAAAGUGUAUUUUUUUCUUCUCUAACCUUAAGCAUAGUGAGCAAGACAAAGUUGAUGGAUAAUAAGAUCAUGAGUGUAACAUUUAAAACACUUGUCAGAUCAGAUCGCUCAACCUAAUGGAAAGAUAAUCUAUCUAUGCUUAUGUUUUCUUUUUAUAUAUAUCUUCCAAAGAUUGUGUGUGCAAUAUUUUUGCUCAUAUGAUUAGGAGUGUGGGAUCACAAAGGUGGAAGGACUAAACAUAUUGAAUCGAUUGGGUUGGUUAAUCUUAUAGUUGUAAAUCAUACAUGUUUGUCUCUUUUAUUCAUGUGAACGCCAGAACCAAGGAGAAGCUUAUAACAGUGAUAGUCACAUACCUUAAGAUGUUACCUUAAUUGAAGAGUGAUGGUACAAUAUCACCUUGUGGAAGCUUUCCUUUCUUAGCGGUUGUGCAUCGUGUUUAUGGCACCCUCCAUGGAUCAUCUCUUGUGAGCUAUGCCUUCCUUGUGUAAAUUGUUAAACUUCAUGUGUCUCUCUCUUUGUCUCCAAUGUGAGUUUAUCUCAGGGCUUCCCAAGUCGAUAUUGAAAGUUUUCCUGCAGGGGUUAGUCCAACAAAAUAUCCAAUAUCUACUAUAGCAUACUAUCGGCUCAAAAAUCAACCUAGACACCAUGUCUAAUUUGAUUCAGGAGGGCAUUUUAACCUAAGCAUCAUGCUUAAUUUAAACUCCCUUGGAAGUAAGAUCAACAUUCCUAACUAAGCACCAUGCUUAAUUAAGAGAUAAAUGAAACUACUCCAAACCUAGACAUAUACUAAAGCAAAUAAAGGUAGCAUAAGAGCAUUUAUAGAGAUCUACUCAAGUGGAGAUGAAGUAGUGUGAUUACUAUUUAAGAAAUUGAGCAUGUCUCAAAGGUAGGGACAACCAACAUAGCAACAUGGCAAAUGAUAUUUUUAUGUAAAGUACUCCCCCAAGCUUGAAUUUUGCAAAAUUCAAGUUUGGAUGAAUUUAAUUCAAUGUUGUAUGAUGAUUGGUUGGACAUACCUUGUGCUUGUCAUUCAUCCGAUCUUCUUGCUCCAAUCCUGGAAAGGUUAGUGACAAGAAUACCCGAAGGAAUAUUUUUACAAUUAUCCUUAUAUGCUCAAUACACAAGGUAAUGUUGCAAAUAAUUAACAGCUCAUGUUACGAUCUAAUCAGUGCUUGUUUUAGGACACUAAGCUUGUCCUUGGGAAACCAUCAAUUUAUGUCAGUGAAGUGGUUUCCCCUCCAACGCUGACCUAUAUCGAGAUCAACUCAACGAGAUCUGUAAUAUUUAAUAUAGACAUAUGCAUCGACAACCACCCUUUUAAAGUUUUUAUAAAUAGAAAGGAUGAGGGGGUUGGAGAUCUCGAAUGUGGUGAUGUUGGAGAGACCAAUGGAUUGUGAAGAUGUUGCAUAUGAGCAUGGAGUAAAUGAAGUGGCUAUAAAAUAAAUUCCAUGCUCAUUAAUGCUUAGAGUGAAAUCCAUGUGGUGUGGUGAAAAUGGCAAGGUGAGUGUGGUAAAAAAGGGAAAAGAAAAAGGAUACACGGACGACUUGGUUCGAAACUAGCACAGCUACCGUUCCCCGGCAACAGCGCCAGAAAGCUUGUUGGGUAUUUUAAACGCAAACAGAAAAAUCCGCAAGCGCACGGAUACCGAUGUAGCUUUCACCCGGGAGUAUUCCAGAGUAUCGAUUUUCCACAGAGAACGUGAGUGUACUAAUUAAGAUCCAAGAUCGCCCAAGGAUAACUAUAUAAUUAUUUUUGGUGGGAAGAGAGGAAGUUUCCUGAGAGUUCUCUAGUUGAUCUAAGAAUCGAGAAUUACUUCAAGAUUAUCUAUAUCGGGACAUCAGAGCACUAACCACAGAAAGAGAUGAGAAGGGGGCUAGGAAGGUCUGACUACGGUCCUACAAACACCGAUCCGAACGUGGUGGAAUACGUCGACCGUUAGGGCUGUCACUACCCUAAGGCUACCACAACAAUCCGCAGGAUUGGGUGCAAUUCCAGGUAAUUGCAAGACUAAACACCACGUCUAAUCUAUUAAUUACUACUCUAGCGUUAUAAAGACUAGAGCACUUGAUGCAAGCGGGAAUCCAAUAAAUAACUUGAAUGUAAAUAAAAGUAAUUAAAGAACUCAGGAAUUAUGAGUUGAAGAACCUGGAGAACGAUGAAGAACGAACCAUUUGCUGCAAAAGUAUAAUGUUGAGGAAGAUCCGACAGAUCCGGCUCCUCCUCUGCUCUCCUCUUCUCUCUCCCUAUUUUCUAGAUUACAACUAGAACUAACUAGAACUAGAACUAGAAGAACUAGAACUAGAACUAGAUGAACUAGAACUAGAUCUAGAUGAACUAGAGGUAGAACUAGAAGAACUAGAGGGAUCCUCUCUACUUGGAUAAAGAAUUAAAACCCUAGCUUUGAUUCUGUAGAAGAGGUAUGAUCUCCAGGGGCCAGGGGGGUCUGGUUUUAUAGUCCAUUUAAGUGAAUCUGGGCCGUCGGAUCAAACCGACAUUGAUCGUGUGGUUUUCCUUGAAGUAUUAGGUCAGUGGAGUGUUGUCCCCAAAUUGGACUCUGUUUGGUCCAGGGGGGAGGGCAGGCGCCCAGUAAGGGAGGGCGGGCGCCCAGUGCCCGGCUCCGUUACAUCUCCCGUUCGUUCCCAUGGCUUCUGGAGUCUUCUAGAUGGUAGAAAAUUGCGCAGCAUGUUAAUAUCUCUAUGUAAACCCGACGUGUGGGCCUUUCUUCCUUAUUUCCUGAUAACCCCCUGCAGAAAUAGACAAACACCAAAACUCGUAGAAUUCUGUCAGAUAAAACCCUAAGUCUAGGUGUUGGUUCCAUUUAGAUCCUUUUCCAUGAUUAGUUGAUGGUUAAAUGUGAGCAUUAAGGACCGUCAACAACCGCCAUCUUUGAGAAGCCUGCCAACAAUGAAAGACAACAAAGCUUUAUUUGUCAAAGGAAGAGUGGAUGGUCAGCCGAUUACCAAAAUUUUGAUUGAUGGUGGAGCUGCUAUUAACAUCAUGCCAUAUGCAGUGUAUCGGAAGCUUGGGAAGGGAGAUCAGGAUCUGACCAAGACCGAUAUGAUGCUCAAGGACUUUGAAGGCAACGUGUAUCCGGUCAAUGGAGCCAUAUGCGUUGAGUUGACCAUCGGCAGUAAAACCUUGCCGACAACCUUCUUCGUGAUCAGUGGAAAGGGUGCUUAUAACUUACUGUUGGGGAGAGAUUGGAUUCAUGCUAAUUGUUGCAUCCCAUCUACAAUGCACCAGUGCUUGGUCUAGUGGGUAGGUGACAAGAUUGAAAUUUUCCCGGGAGACUCUUCAUACGUUAUUGCAUCGGCAGAGGCAGACACCUAUGAAAGGACUAGGUGUAUUUUAGGAGAAGCUUGGGAAAAGGAGUUUCUCAAGGUUGCCGAUUACGAAAUUCCACCGAUCCAAGCAGUCGGUUCUGAUGAAGGUUUUUAAUGGAUAGGUUCGCCGAUGAUGGAAAGUUAGGCUAGGGGUUCACAUCGGCCGAUGAUUUGGUAGAAGUAGAUAUAGGUGGUGGUGAUAAGCCUAGACCUACUUUUAUCAGUGCUAAGUUAGAUUCUGAGUGUAAGCAACAGUUAACCGAUCUGUUAAAAGAAUAUAAAGAUUGCUUUGCUUGGGAUUAUAAUGAGAUGUCUGGUUUAGACCGAUCGAUUGUUGAACAUCGGUUACCUAUCAAGUCUGGAUUUCGGCCACAUCAGCAGCCAGCUCGCCGAUGUAAUCCUAACAUUCUUCCCGACAUCAAGGCCGAAAUAACUAAACUUAUUGAAGCCAAAUUUAUUCGGCAGUGUCGGUAUGCCGAAUGGAUUUCCAAUGUUGUUCCGGUUUACAAGAAGAACGGGAAGCUUCGGGUCUGCAUUGAUUUCAGGAAUCUUAACAAAGCUACACCGAUGGAUGGCUACCCAAUGCCAGUUGCCGAUUUGCUAGUUGACGCUGCAGCUGGGCAUCGGAUUAUUAGCUUUAUGGAUGGCAAUGCAGGAUACAAUCAAAUAUUCAUGGCUGAAGAAGAUAUUCCGAAGACCGCGUUCAGAUGUCCUGGUCAUGUUGGACUGUUUGAAUGGAUAGUCAUGACCUUCGGCUUGAAAAAUGCUGGUGCUACUUAUCAGAGGGCCAUGAAUUUUAUAUUUCAUGAAUUCAUCGGCAAACUGGUGGAGAUUUUUAUUGAUGAUGUGGUAGUUAAGUCUGGAGACUUCACAAAGCAUCUUGCCGAUCUACGAAAGGUGUUGGAAUGCACAAGGAAGCAUGGUUUGAAAAUGAAUCCCAAUAAGUGUGUAUUUGGUGUAUCGGUAGGGCAGUUUCUUGGUUUCAUGGUGCAUCAGAGGGGAAUUGAAAUUAGUCGAAGAUCUAUUGACGCCAUCAACAAAAUAGUUGUCCCUACCAAUAAGACUGAGCUCCAAUCGUUGAUCGGCAAGGUAAAUUUUAUCAGAAGAUUUAUAUCUAAUUUGUCUGGUAAAAUUCGUGCUUUCAGUCCUCUUCUUAAGUUAAAGGCCGAUCAAGAAUUUAUUUGUUGGAACGAACAGCAGUUGGCUCUGGAUGAAAUCAAGAAUUAUUUGGUGAAUCCUCCAGUUCUAAUUCCACCUCAGUAAGGGAAGCCCUUCAGAUUGUAUUUAUCUACCGAUGGGAUGGUCAUCGGUUCGGCUUUAAUUCAAGAAUUUGAAGGGAAGGAACGUGUGAUUUAUUACUUAAGCAGGAGGUUGAUUGAUGCUGAGACCAGGUAUUCGGCUAUUGAGAAACUAUGCUUGUGCCUGUAUUUCUCUUGUAUCAAGCUAAGGCACUACCUGCUAUCGGCCGAAUGCACUGUUAUUUGUAAGGAUGAUGUGGUCCGAUACAUGCUGUCUAUACCGAUCAUGAGCGGCAGGAUCGGUAAGUGGAUUUUGGCACUAUCGGAGUUUGAUCUGCGUUACGAAAUGGCUAAGACAGUUAAGGGAUAGAUUAUGGCCGAUUUGGUAACUCAACAUUGCGGUGCAGUGAAGGCUUUCGAAAUUGUGCCUUGGACGCUCUUCUUUGAUGGAUCCACAUGUGACCGGGGGGCAGGAAUCGGCAUAGUAUUAAUUUCCCUCGGGGAAGGAGGUACGAGUUUUCCUUGCCGAUUGUUGCCACGUCGACGAAUAAUCAGGCUGAGUAUCAAGCUUUAAUAAAGGGAUUGGAGUUAUUAAGAAAAGUUCAUGCUGAAGCUGUUGAGGUCUUCGGGGAUUCUAUGCUAGUUAUAAAUCAAUUGGCUGGAAGAUACGAAUGCCGAAGUGAAGUUCUCAUAACUUAUUACGAACGGAGUAUGUAAUUGUUAAAGGAAUUCAAAGAUUCCGAUUAGAGCAUGUUCCUCGAUUGCAUAAUGAGGAGGCCAAUCGGUUAGCUCAGCAUGCCUCGGGAUAUCAGCCUAUGAUUAAUGCAAUAUCGGCAAUCGGUGCCGAUGAUUGGAGAAAAGAAAUCAUUGAUUAUUUGAAGGAUCCAUCUAAGAAAGUCGAGAGACGGGUUCGAUUUCAAGCCACCAAGUAUGUGCUCCUCGAAGGUGAAUUGUAUUAUCGAACUAUUGAUGGGGUUCUUCUCCGAUGCUUAGGUGAUGACGAAGCUAAGAGUUUGAUGGGAGAAAUCCAUGAAGGGGUAUGUGGAGCACAUUAGUCGGCUUUUAAGAUGAAGUGGAUGAUUAGGAGGAAUGGAUAUUAUUGGCCGACUAUACUUGAGGACUGCUUUUAGUAUUUCAAAGGGUGUCAAGGAUGUCAAAAGUUUGGCAAUAUUCAAAGGGCGCCUGCAUCGGCUAUGAAUCCUAUUAUCAAACCUUGGCCGUUCCGGGGUUGGGCCAUUGACUUAAUCGGUCAGAUUUAUCCGCCAUCUAGCAAGGGGCAUAAGUUCAUCUUGGUUGCUACCGAUUAUUUCACUAAGUGGGUUGAAGCUAUUCCUUUGAAGAAAGUUACAUCGGCCACUAUGAUUGAUUUUGUGAAGGAACAUAUCAUUUACCGAUUUGGAAUUCCUCAGACAAUUACUACCGAUCAGGGCACCAUGUUCACGUCAGGGGAAUUUGAUGAAUUUGCAACGGUAUGGGAAUUAAAGUAUUAAAUUCUUCUCCUUACUAUGCUCAAGCUAAUGGGCAGGCCGAGGCAUCUAAUAAAGGGAUUAUCAAGCUUAUUAAAAGAAAGAUUGAAGAAAAUCCUAGGAGGUGGCAUACGUUGUUGAAUGAAGCCUUGUGGUCAUACCGGAUGGCUUGUCAUGGAUCGACCAAGGUUUCACCUUAUCAAUUGGUGUAUGGGCAUGAUGCAGUGCUACCUUGGGAAAUUAAGGCUGGGUCUAGGCGAAUAUCUUUUCAAGAUCAAUUGGCUGCCGAUGAUUAUGCUACUUUAAUGACAGACGAGUUGGAUGAUCUAGCAUGACAUCGGCUGAAGGCCUUGAUGAGUAUAGAAGAGAAUAAGAAGAGAGUUGCCAGAUGGUAUGACAAGAAAGUAAAGGCUAAGGAGUUUGCCGAUGGAGAUUUGGUGUGGAAAUUGAUCUUACCGAUCGGGACUAAAAGUUCAAAAUUUGGGAAGUGGUCUCCCAAUUGGGAGGGUCCCUAUCGGAUAAGUCGAUCGGCACCUGGUAAUGCCUAUAUUCUAGAAACUCUCGAAGGAGUCGAAUUUCCCAGAGCAUUAAAUGGCAAAUAUUUGAAGAAGUAUUACCCCAGCAUAUGGGUCGAUGCAUAAAAGUCAAGUGCCGAUAACAUCUCUAUCGGCUGGGUCAAAAUGUGUCUGGGUCAGACUUAGUGUUUUAAAAGGGUGCCGAUAACAGUCCUAUCGGCUAGACCAAGUAUCAGGAAGGUCGGGAAACAGAAAAAGGCGAACGUGUUGCUGAUGAAGAGCUCACAAAUCUAGCAGCGCCUGGAUGGCCGAUAUGGCGCGUAGGCGGAUUUGGUUAGCUGCUUCUAUCUCUUUGGUGUCUUCAUCGGUAGAGCCUUCCACUGGCUUCAAUUUCUUCUUCAGCUGCAAUGCUUUGCGGCCAUGGACGUUUCGCUCUUGCUCAAGAAGCUUGAUUGUCUCCGGCAGUUGGCUUUCUUCUUGUCGGGCUUGGGACAGGGCAUCCUCUACUUGCUUGAGUUCUGCCAGCAGAGUUUCUCUUCUUACCGAUAAGUCAGAAAUCUUUUGCUUCAGUGCAUCUCCCGAGGACUUCAAGGUGCCGAUGUUCUUGUGCUUUUCAUCGGUAAGAAGCUUUUCUUUCAUCAUCUCCUCGGAAAGCUGAGUCUGAGCGGCUCUAUCGGCAAGGCGCUGGGCAGCCCUCUGGUAUUGCAGUUGACGGCUCUCCAGAUGAGCUGCUUGAAAGAGGAUUUCUUCGGCAUCGGUGGGGAUUUGGCCUCUCAAGGUCUUGAACAAAGCCUUGGUCGGAUCAGAGUCUUUGACUAGUUGGGCUGUGUCUUGGUGGAGGAGAGCCGAUAGUUCUUCUAGCUUUGCCCUGACCUCCACCGAUGUAAUCCCGACUGCCCGAGAAGAGCUUGCUUCUUCACCUUCAUCGUCAGAGAUGUCGAUGGCGAAGGAGAAUAAGCUGUCGGGAGAGUCCUGCUCCUGAAAAAGAGUUAAAACGAGUUAUUCUAUGGUCAGGUAUUGAUGAAUAAUGCAGACGGAUAUUGGAGAACUUACUUGCUUCAGGGCAAUCUCUUGCCUCUGACUAGAAGAUGCCGACGGAAUCACGGGUUGAUCGGCUGAGGUUGCCGAUUGAACUAUGUCAGCUGAAAAGUGACAGAAAUAGUUAUAAGACAGAAAGGGUAAGUUCAUCGGAAGUAAUUUCAUAGAAGUAUGUUACCUUGAGGAGGGACAAUACUUGUCUGGAUAGAGGAAACUACCGAUGCUAUGAUUGAGCCUGCUGGAUCGGUAGUCUGCUCGCCCACAUCAGCCGAUGUAUCUUCAGGCUGAGGCUCUUCUGGAUGAGGUUCCUCUAGUUGGGGUUCUUCCACUUGAGGUGCUACUGGUAGAUGAGGGGGAGAUGGUACCUGCUGCAUCUGUACUUCUGGGGAGGAAGGAGAGGAUUCCACUGGAAUUGGUGAUACCGGGGGAGGAGAAUGCGUUGUUACUCUUUGGCGCUUCGCCCGUCCUCUGGUACUCUUGGCAGCUUUCCUCUUCGGUUGGCUGGACUGGGGGGCAUUAGCACUUCCACUUCUGGUCUUUGCCGAUGCACCGGUAUGUUGUGUCAUAAGUAAGGAUUCAUAAGCACAAAUGUAACAUAUGAAAUUGUGGAAUCGGUAUGGAUGAAGAGACUUGAACAAUUACCUUGAAGGCAUGUGCUAAGGCGGAGGCAGCUACCGAUGGGGAUACCUUGGCUCUCUUGGUGGUUACUUUCUUGAGGCGUACACCUCGGUGCAUGAUGGCAGCCAGAGUAGGAGCGUUGUUGCCGAUUGAAGAGAUCGGACCUGAUGGAAACAGAUCAAUCGGCUUACCGCUCCUGCUGACAGAUGGGGGAAUGUUAUCAACCUGCAAUGUCACACAAAGAGUAAGUUACCGAUGAAUAUGGGAGUAAGGGGAUAAAAAUGUCGGUUCAAAGGUACUUACAGUAUUGUCGGGGACUUUGUACUGGGGAUCGAUCAUGCCGCGAUAUGUAAGGGCCGAUCUGCAGAACAAGUGCUCCUUCCACUCCUCCCACCAUGCUUGUAUGCCUGAGUGACAAAGAGAACUAGAACCCACUCUGACAAAUCGACAUCCGUAUCGGCAUUGGGUGCUAGCUGGGCCACUCUGAUCCACUCGAGGAGAUUAUUGAUGAUCUCUCUGGGUUUAUCACAUCGGCAUAACAGAGUGCAAUCGGCAGCUGGCUGAAGGCUAAUUGACGAGCUAAUGCCGAUGGGUUGUAAAACUCAUAGGUUUGGCUAGAGGUUUUCCCACUGCCGAAAAAGUUCACUAGUAUAACUCUGGGGGUGAUCAGUGCCAUCAUUACCUCGUCAUCCUUGUUAAGAUCAUUGUUGAAUGGAUGGAAGACCAAAGGGAACAUGGUGUCUGGAUCUUCAUAAUCACGCUGGGCAAAAAAACCCGAGACCGAAUACCGAACCCGAACAGACCGAACCCGAACCCGAACAGACCGAAAAUUCGGUUCUCGGUCGUUUGUUCGGUUCCAGGUUGCCAGAAACCGAAUAGUACAUCGGUUAAUCGGUCUGUCUGUUCGGUUACCCGAGAAGACCGAAUAUGUAGCAGCCCAGUAGAAAGUAGCCCAAUGCGGCAAUGCCUAGCUAGUAAAAUGACUCAGACCUGAGCCAGUGUGUGGUGCGCCAUCUCACACCAACCCUAGCCGCCGCCGCCGCCUCCGCAACCUGCGUCGAGCCGCCGAGCGGCGCUGUCCGCCAUCUCACACUGGGUCAUCGUCCGCUGCCACUACCUCGCGCCCUCACCGAGUCAACGGUCUGCCUCCACUACCGGUGGAGCCUCCUACACCGUGAGCGACGAGUGGAGUUGACGUCUGUGGAGGUGGAGCCGUGGAGCAGUGAAGGUGUCGUGCUCCCGUCCAGGCAUCGACGGCGACCUUGUUCUGCAGUUCUGUCACCUGCUGGGCGACUGGAAGAAGGAUCGAAGGAGGAGCUUCGUGUCUGCACAAACGGAGUCACUAGAAUCUUGCAACGUAAGUAUGAAACUCGAUCUCCUAAACCGUGGUGUUUGUGAAGUUGUCAAUUUGUGCAAUACAUGGUGCAAUAUCUGAUUUUAGAUGAUACAGACCUAUAGUUAUAACAUCUUCUAAUUUUAGGUCGUAGAUUUAUUCGUGUCCUUGGCUUCUAAUUUGUAGAUGCCCUCUGAAACUGAAGAGGAAAUUGAAAUGGGAGUUGAAGCUGAAGAUAUGGAACUGGAGGAUGCAGGAGGAAGGCAUAGUGAGGACAAUGAGGUCAUUCAACUUGAGGGUGAAGAUGGAAAUGGCAAUGGCAAGGAAAAAAUGCAAGAAAACCAAUGGAACCAAGGUCUGAAAUUUGGCAACACUUUAUCAAGAUAAAGGAUGAGAAUGAUGUGGUGAAGAAGGGGAAAUGCAAGUAUUGUAGUCGACUAAUCAAGGCCGAUUCGUAUGUCAAUGGUACUACUGCAAUGAAGAGACACUUUAAUAUUUGCAAGCGCAAUCCUCAUGUCAACAGCAAGGAUCCGAAGCAGGCAACUUUGGCAGCAACUAAAGGAGAAGGCAUCACCACUUGGAGGUAUGAUCCAGAAGCAAUUAGGGAAGCUUUUGCUGAAAUGGUGAUAGAAGAUGAAAUGCCUUUUGUAACUGGAGAGAAGAGAGGAUUUAAGAAGUUUAUGAGUGUAGCUUGCCCACGCUGGAGUACACCAUCUCGAAGGACAACAACAAGGGACACUGUUCGGAUUUAUUUUCAAGAGAAAGCAAAGCUGAAGCUAUUUUUGAAGGAUAGUUGUGAAAGAGUUUGUUUAACUACUGAUGGUUGGACUUCUCAACAGCAAGAUAGCUACAUGGCAGUGACUGCACACUUCAUUGACAAAGAUUGGCAAUAUCAUAGGAAAGUCAUUAGCUUCUUUAAAGUAAAGGGGCAUAAGGGGGAUGACAUUGGAAAAAACUUGCAAAGGUGUUUGCUUGAUUGGGGGCUAGAAAAGGUCAUGUGUGUCACGGUUGAUAAUGCUAGCUCUAAUGAUAGCGGUAUAAGUUACUUGAGGAGGUACAUGAAUAAUGCAAAGACAAGUAUAGCUGAAGGAAAGUAUCUUCACAUGAGAUGUGCUGCACACAUUGUCAAUCUUAUUGUACAAGAUGGACUUAAAGAAGUGGAUACUUCAGUGAAGCGUGUCCGAGCUGCUGUUAGGUACAUCAAGAAUGGCACUUCUCGAUUGGUUAAGUUCAAAGAGCUUGCUGAGGAAGAGAAGGUUGAGACCAAGGCAUUUCUGCACCUAGACAUUUGCACUAGAUGGAAUUCAACAUAUCUAAUGUUGAAAGCAGCCACCAGCUAUGACAAGGUAUUUGCAAGGUACUUUGGCGAUGACCCAUGCUAUGCUAUUGACUUGUCACCAGCUAACAAAGGUCCAGGGCAUCCAGAUGAGGAAGAUUGGGAGAAUGCAAAGAAGAUGGCUGAAUUUCUUGGUCAUUUCUAUAAACUCACUGAGCGUCUUUCUAAAAAUGUGCAUGUCAAUUCACACAACUUCAUGUUUGAGAUUUGUGAAGUCAAUUUCUUAAUUACCAAUUGGACGAGCAGCAAGGAUCCUUUGCGCCAAGAAAUGGGCAAGAGAAUGAAAGAAAAGUUUGAUAAAUAUUGGGGAAAUUGGCAUGAUCGGUCAGCUGCUGAAGUCAGAAUUGUGAAUGAGAGAGGGAAGGGGAAGGGAAAGGAGAAAGGAGAAAGAGAAGGAGAAUCUGAACUUGCUCAUUUUUGUUGCUGCAGUACUUGACCCAAGAUACAAGCUAUCAGAAUACACCAAAGUAGCUAUUGAGGAGAUAUUUAAUGAGGAAAAUGGACCAAAAGUUUGGGCUGCUGUUAAAGCUUGUGUUCAUGACUUGUUUGAAGAAUAUAGGAACAUAUAUGCUCCGUCGUCUAAUGCGAUAGCAGAAACUGAUGAACCUCAGGAACCAAGUGAAGCAGAUGCAGUGAAGUUUAGAAUUGCCCAAAAACUAAAGCGACAUGGUGCUGCAAGUGGAGGCAACAAGUCUGAACUUGAAAAAUAUCUUGGUGAAGAUACUGAACCUGAAGACAAGAAGUUUGACAUUCUGGCAUGGUGGAAGGUUAAUUCGUCAAGGUUCCCAAUAUUAACACAACUGGCUCGUGAUGUAUUAGCAAUUCAGAUUUCAACUGUCUCAUCAGAGUCGGUAUUUAGCACAACUGGUCGCAUACUUGAUGAUUUUAGGACCUCCCUCACUCCUUUCAUGGUGGAAGCACUUGUCUGUACUCAAGAUUGGUUGCGAAGGGCCACUCCCAUUAGUAUCCAGGAGGACAUGGAGCAAUUGGGUGAACUAGAGAAAGGUAUUUAAGCUACUCUUUUCAUAUUAUUUAUAUUCUUUGUAAUGGAAUAGUCACUGAUUAUUUCAUCUCAAUUUCAGAGUUGAUUCAAGAAUAUGCUGAUGGGAAAGGUAAACGCAAGGCCGAUUCAUUAUCAGAGAGUGCAAGCAAGGCAACAACAACACCUACCAGCACUUCCUAAAUAUGGUGAGUUCACUGAGUUAUUGGCUAGUUGCUAUCUCUACCUUGCAGUUGCAGUAAUAAUUAUGAACGUAAGUUUCUGUUAUUUAAUUUGUUUCUUUUAUUUGGUAGCUACUGUCAUGCACUCAACAAGUGCUAGGAUGUGUUGCUGGCUUGCUGCUACGUUGCUAGCUACUGGUUGGUUGCUAUGAAGCCUUGAAGGACUGAUGUUGAAUGGCGAUGGCACUCUGCCAGGAUGUGCCCACUCUGUCAUUUAUGAACCUAUGUAAUAUUACAAAUUUAUUUAGUGUUGUAAGCCUGUAAGUGUGUAGUCCUGCUCCUAUAGUCCUAUCACUCUAUGAACUGAUAUUGUGAAGCCUGACGCUGAAAAUUAAAGUGUGGUGCAAUUUAAUAUCUCAUAUCUGCCUGUCUGCACUAUGUACAAUACUGAUCAUCGGUCCUUUUCGGGUCAAACCGAACUGACCGAAUAAAAAACCGAAGACCGAACUGACGGUCUCUCAAUCUUCAGGCAAAACUUCGGUUGCUGAUAUCAGAAAACCGAAUUAAAAAAAAACCGAAAAACCCGAACCGAAAUUUCGGUUAAGACCGAAUGCCCAGCGUUGCUUCAUAAGGCAUCCAUGCUCGUUGUUCUCUGGUUAGGCCUUCGUACAAGGUUUGGAAGAAUCGGCUGACCUGAUCUGCGUUACCUCCUGUGCCAGGCAGGACUAUGGCAGCCUCACCAAAGUUCAGAGGAGGGCAAGUUGCCGAUUCUUCUUCAUCCAGUUCAUGGUUCUCGGCUAUAUCCCUAGGGAAACGCUGUGCAAAGAGGUCGAACUCAAGGCGCUUGUGCAUGUGAAGGCUGAGCCACAUGUCAAUGAACCACCAGGGACUCCCAAGUUGCCGAUGGGCUGACCGAGCAGGAGUUUCUUAGCUACCUGGUGGAGGAGAUGGUAGGCAGCGCCAAGCAGAUAUCGGCUAAGGGGAAAUCGGCCACCAUUAGCCAGCCUCUCUGCCGCCGAUAGGUAAACAGAAGUCAGUCCUGCCGAUCGGCCGCAGAAUAUGAAUUUAUCCAGCCACAUGUUCAGAAAGGUAGUUUGCUCCUUUAUAUUGAUGGGCCCCGUCUUACGAUACUUCUGAAUAUACCCGGACCAGCCGCCGAUGGCGCGGGUUUCCACUUUGGCGCUAGGCGCGGUGUCAAAAAAGUGGGUGCUAUCGGCAGAAGAUACGUCCAGGCCGGUGAGCAUAACUACAUCGGCAAGAGUGGGGGAAGCAGGGCCAUGGCCGAAGACAAAGGCAUUGAGCGUGUCUGACCAGAAGUAUGAUGCAGCUAUCAGUAACGACUCGUUCCUAUGCAUAUCGGCAAUGGACAACCUGAUACAUUGGUCCAGUUUUCUCUCACCCCACUGGAUUUAGUUUGAGUGCCUGACUCUCAAGAACCAAUUCUUCCAUCCUACGAUGGGGCUGGGUCAGGAGCGGAAAGUGUCCCUCCACAGAUCUAAGGAAAAGUUUUCGGCUCUGAAAGGGAUCCUGUUUGUUUCUGCGUUAAUCAAAUCUGUGGGAUCUGGAUUCCCUAAUGGACCAAGGCAUUGGAGAUGUGGCUGAUCGGUAGGGAUGAUUAGUUUGUUGGACAGAUCCUGUUGGUUUUAGGAGUGAAAAGAAGGAUAAGAACAAAAAGAAAGGAAAAGAAAAAGGUGUUCAGUGAAAAAAAAAAUUACGGAUGAACAAGGAUGCGAGAAAAAGCACAAGAGGUGGAAUGAAGAACUAACCUCAGGAACGGUGAAGUUGAUGGCCAUCUCUUCACGAAGAGGAUGAUCGAGGGCUUCGGAGUUGGAGGAGAAAAGGCUUCGUUGGAGAUCUCGGAGCUCUCGAACAGCGCCGCCGCCAGGAAAGUGGAGUAGGAGCUGUAGAAUGAUAUGUUGGGGAAGGAGUACCCGAGAAGGAACUAUUUAUAGGACAAAACGGGCAAGGGCAAAUCUGACUUAUCUCUUCGCCAUAUCCGUGAAAUCCGAGGGUAUUUAGGUAGAUAUGGUAACUGUUCGUACGAUAAUCAAGGGAUUGUGCAGGUGAUUUGACAGGAAGCGGUCAUUAUCCAUAGAUAUUUUACUGUGCGGGAUCUCCUGGUCGGUCCAUCGGCAGCGCCUUGUAACGGUAAUAUUGUCGAUGGGCGAAUAAAGUGGAGAUAGCUGUUUGAGAGGAUAAGAUACUUUAUUGAACAGGACGUCCUGAUCGGUCCAUCGGCAAAUCUCUGUAACGGUAAUACUGCCGAUGAGCGAUUAAAAUGGAGGAAUCAAACUGAGACUGUUCAGGUUGAGGUUGUCGGUUUCCAAAUUGGGAGAAUUAAUUGCGGAAAGGCAUCAUUACUGCAGAGAAUUUCGGAGCAUUAAUGAUUUUAUACUCCGAAAUUGGGGAGCAUGUGUUGACACCGUUUUUGGGCACGUGUCCAUGAUCGGUAGAAGGCAGGUUGGCGAGACAAGACGACAGUGCUUGGUCUACAGGAUGAGUUGUCGAUGAGGAUGGUUGCCGAUAGAGGGAUGGCUGAACAUAACUAAGUCCAUAGGUGAUGAUGUGUUUGUACCGAUGGCUACAACAGGAGAGUCUGCCGAUGAUGCGGAGGAGGAACUUAACGGUUGCCGAUCGGUUUGUGGAGGUGUUCGAGUUUGUCACGGGAGGAUAGUUUUAUGUUUUCCUUAGUUAUUUAGAUCGUUUUGUAUGCAGAUUCUGUUUAAUUUGAAAUUUGAAUUCUAGCGGUGUCUGGUUGUGGCUCUGCGAACAGGGUAUAAAUGUAGACCCUGAGGCUUUGUCAGGAUCUAUCAAUCAAUCAAACCUACGUUUUUACUCAUAUCCCAGCAUCUACUUUUUUGACGACUUUGUCAUACUUUUUCCUUUUCGUUACGAGUUCUUAGGAAUUCGUCGACUUAAGCUCGACGUGUUCUCAAGAUCCGCGUGAAUACCUCUUGGCCGUGGCAUCCAGGCGCAUCGCUGUUGUCGGGACCAAAGUAUUCGAGUUAUGACCUUCGCCGAUAGUAAGGUCAAAUCGGCUGGCACGCCUUAACGUUUAAAUCGGGUAUUAGCCCUUUAUGUUUGCAGAUCAGCUUUUUGCAUCAACACUGCCGAUAUGAGACUUAACCCGCUAUUUAAAACAUUGCUCUCAACCAGCAAAGGAACGGUGACACUGACCCAAAUCACCAGUCAACAAUACGACGUCCGUCAGUAUUAUACUUUUAUUAUCAAGCAGAAUUAUCAUGAGAUCAACACACUGACUAAAAUUUAACAUUGAAUUCCCAAUAAACCAUUCAGGUGUACAUUAUUGCCACGGUGCGUGAUAGUCACCAGUUAUGCAGCAGAGCAUAACAGCACUAACUAAUUACAAUCUGACCAGUUCAUUCCAUUCGUUCCACGAUCGAAAUCUCGAAACAAAUAAAUCAAACGCAUCAGUUGUUGAGUUUGACUAUAUAUAUGCAGGAUUUCAGUUGCAGCCAUAUGAGCAGCGCAUGAUCAGCAGCUAGCGAUGCUUCCAUCGAUAGCGAGAUGAUGGCGAGUGGAUGGCACCACCACCAUGCCACUUCUUGUCGUUGUUCCGUGGCAGCUUCCGGCGGCGGACGCCGCUCCUGUCGACCCUUGGAGGAAGUGUCUUCUCCUCCUCCGGCGGAUCUUGUAUGAACCAAUAGUCAAGGGGCCAUGACGACAAGUCCCUCCGACGAAUCAUCCAGAUGGGUUCAAAAUCAAAGGAGUCGAAGAACCACGAGCGCGGAAUGGGACGAUUGGAACGCCGCCUGGCCUCCACGUAUUUGUCCUUCCAGGUCGAUCCGACACGGAGAGUCUCCUCGUCGGAGCUGUCGGCGUCGGGGAAGAACCACCACAGACGCCACCAGCCCCGGCGCUGGCGCGCAGGCAGGGCCUUGUACAAGGUCCUCCACAGCUGGUGGUCACGCUCAGCGACGAGCAGCCUCAGCUGGGAGCUAACGCACUCCACCCUCGCGAGGUCCUUGCCGUCGGUGAGCUUCUCCAAGACGGCUCCCUGGAGGUCGUCGGGCAGGGACGCGAAGCCGCUCAGCGGUAGGCCGUUCCUGCUGCACAGCUCGUGGAGGAGGCCCCAGCACACGCCGUCGGCGAGCGCCUUGCAGAUCCGCGACGCCCAGGGCUCCACGCCGCCGAGGCUACGGGAGAGGAGCGGCCACACGGUGAGGAGAUCCAGCCGCUCCAUGUACGCGAUCUCCGGCGUGUCGUCGUCGCCGUCCGCGGUGAGGAACACGAGGAGCGCGGCGUACCUCCCCUGCGCACACAGCAUCAGCACGGCAGCGUCCGCGCCGUCGCGGUGCGCAAGGUCCGGCGCGGUGUACUGUCGGGAGAGGCAGAGCGAGCCUCCCCCCUUCUUGCGUGAUUGCUUCUUCAGGAGGUGUCCCGACCGUGGCUGCGCGCCGUACGGCCGGAAACCGGCGAAGAGGAAGGCGGCGUGGAAGACCAUGCCCAGCCGGCCGGCGAUGUCCUCGGCGUCCCACUGCUCAGCGUCUACGAACUUCUUGAGGAGGCUCGCCAUUGUAGCAGGGUUCUUGUCGCGAUGGGUCGUUAGGAGCUAAUGACGAUGAAAUUGGGUACUACAGUCCGAGGGGGUAAUUACCUGCAAAUUCCUCUAACUCAACUUAGCGGCUAAGCAAUUGACUUGUUCUCAGUCAAUGUGACACGUAUACUGCUUAUAAUUUCAUAAUCCCUUAAAUUAAGAUCCAUAGAGCUAAUAGAUACUUGCUAACAAUUAGAUUCUUGAUCCAAAACGGAUCUAGCUAAUAGUUUAGUUAAUUGUUAGUUGAAUAACUUGCUAAUAGUUAUUUCACUAGGUUAAUCAAACUAGUCAAUAGUGACUACGGUUAGCUCAGCUAGCUAAAAGGUUAGUAGCUAAUCCAAACAAAGAUCUAUCCAAGGAUGUGAGAUGCGUGACAUUGUCACAAAACAAGUUACUUGUCUGUCCAAAAGUAAAUUGCAAACGUGAAACAACAUUUUUUUUCAAGACUAAUAAUAGACACUUUAACAUCAUGCACCGUCAGAUGCCAGAUUAGGACCUAUGCCAAAAAAGCACUUCAUAGACGGGCGUUCAGCUGCAUCACAGACACGCCAGCGCACGUCGGCAAUACGGUGUCUGUAAUAAAGUUUAUUACACACACAUAAAACAAGUGUCUGUAUUAAAAAUACACUUACAGACACACGUAACCACAUACGACUGUAAUUAAAAUAGAACGUACAUCGGUAAAGUGCUUAUAUGCAAAUGUGAUUAAAAUAGAACGCACAAAACAAACGAAUAAUGCACCAUAUAUGCCGACCGCCCACUCCUUCCCUGCUCACUUUUCUUGUUCCUGACAUCAUUAAAAAAGCAAAGACAUUUAUUUUAAAUUGCUAUAGCUUUCAAACAACGUAUUAAUUUUUAAUUCUGCAUAUAACUGUGUAUUCUAGUGACGAAGCAAACAAAACUAGACCUAACUUGCGUAUGUUUCAAAAAACAUUUUUUUUCUUAUAGCAAUUUAUGUAUAUUAACUUAUGAAAUACAGUAUAACUUAGAACUUACAAGUUAUAACUUAUGCGCAUAAGCUAUACUCAAUAACUUAAGAACACGAGUUGUAUAAAAUAACUUAUGUACAUAAAUUGUGUUUGAUAACUUUUGUACAUAAGUUGUGUUCCAUGACUUUUUUGUGUUUUCAUGUUUUAGCAUAAGUUAUAAGUUAAAUUGUUCCUAUGCUUAAUAACUUUUGUAUUUUCAAGUUUUCGCAUAAGUCAUAAGUUAAGUAUUUCUUUGUCUUUAAUAACUUUUGCACAUAAAUUAUAUUCAAUAGCUUUUGUGUUUCAAAGUUUUGAGAUAAGUUAUAUGUUAUAAGUUAUAUAUUAUAAGUUAUAUAUUAUAAGUUAUACGUUAUAAGUCAUAUGGUAUAAGUUAAUCGCUACUAAAAACAUUUUUAGAGCAUAUGCAAGUGGGAUCUAAUUUUGUUCAACUCGUCGUGUAGAAUACACUGAUGUAGACGGAAUUAAAAACGGAUAUAUGGUUUAGAAGUUAUAACAUUUUUAAAUAAAUGUUUCCUUUUCCUGAUGACAUCAGCACUAACAUCUUAUCGUGGAAGUGCGCUAAAAAGUGCCGCUCGUUCCUACUAUCCAAAUGAGGUAACAGGUGGGAAUUUUUCUUUUCCAAAAAACAAAAUUAAUGAUGUCAGAAAAUUAUUCGUUGAUCUCGGUUUGGGUGAAUGUUCGCUCGUUAGUGCGGCCAUCUUUGGAUAUAAUCAUAUUUACAUCAAUCCACUUGUGUUGGCAUGAAUUAGAGUGGAACUUAAACUAAAUUCCACCCUAACCGCCUAAGUUGUUUCAUCAGGGUUGGCACAAAGUCAUCACAUAACGAAGCACAGGGGCUUUACAUGAGUACAUUCUGUCAGCGAUGUUCAACUUGAUAGUUAACUGGAAGUAAUCUCAACUAGGUCAAGGAAGCUCCAAGUUUAAUUGCUUAGCUUGACCAUGGCUUUCAAUAUCCAUAUCUUGUCGAUUCCCUUUGUCUACCUCUCGUUUCAUCAAACUAAAAAAAAUCAAAGAUAAUUCUUCAUCUAUAGAAUCCAUAGAGGGGGGCAAAAAUAAUAUAAAAAUAGACUACAGUAACAUGAAGAAAGUAAAUCUGAGGUGCAUAGUAGUAAACCUCCUGAGUAGGAUUUCACAUGCCAAGCUAUCUUUUUGGAUGCAGCGAAGCAAAGUUAGGGCUGCUAUCUGCGGUGAUGAAAACACCCGUUACUUCCACGCCUGUGCUAAUCAGAGGAGGCGCAUGAAUAGAAUUCAAGUUAUUGAGCAUGAUGGGCGCGAAUACCAUAAUCAUAAUCAGAAAGCUGAUAUCCUACAUGCAUUCUACCACAAUCUUGUGGGGUGUGUCCGAGAAACCAAUUGGACUUUCCAGCUGAGCAGUUUGUACCCCGGUGGGCCUCUUCCUCUUGAUGAACUUGGCAGCCCCUUCACAAGUGCGGAGAUCAGGAAGGCUGUUCACUCUAUGCGCUCUACUGCCAGCCCAGGGCCGGAUGGUUUUGGCCCCUCGUUCUUCAAAGCAACAUGGUCUGUCUCCUUCGCUAGCAUGAUUGAUCUGUUUCAAGGUUUCCAUGACCACACCGCGGAUCUUGAACCCAUCAACAGGUCCUACCUUAUUCUCCUCCCCAAGAAGAAUAAUGCUCGAGAGGUGGGGGAUUUCCGCCCCAGUGCUCUUCACAACACCACAAUUAAGAGUCUUUCCAAAGUGCUCACUAACAGGCUCCGGCCGGUGAUCCCUCUCUUGGUCAGCAGUGACCAAGCCGGUUUUAUCCUCGGUCGCUGCAUUGCUGAAAGUUUUGCUUAUGCCACCAACCUCCUUCAUUGCUGCUACCGUCGUAACGCUCCUACCCUAAUUCUCAAGCUUGAUUUCCAUAAAGCUUUCGACCGUGUCAAUUUGGAUAGCCUAAUCCUGUCAGCUUGUGUCGCUGGAUUCACACCCUGCUUGUUACCGGUAAAACGUCGGUCCUCCUUAAUGGGGUACCUAGGAGAUGGAUCAAUUGCCGAAAUGGGUUUCGCCAGGGAGAUCCUUUAUCCCCGUAUCUCUUCAUUAUUGUUGUGGAUGUUCUCCGUCGUCUGCUCCAUCACCCUUCCCUUGCCACUGUUGGGUAUUCUUAACAUCAUUACCAAAAGUAGACUAAGUUCUCUAAAUCUAGUAACGGUGCCAAAAAUACCAAACCUAUCCCUCACACCACUUAAGCCAAGUUGUCAUCCCCAGCAUGGCAUGAGAGACGCGGUAUUGAAAUAUGCAAUUGCUCUUCUAAAUAAAUAAUGAAUGGGAUCUGCAAGCGCACAGAUUAAUACCGAUGUAGCAUUUUAACCGGGAAGUAUUCCAGGUAUCGUUAUUUAUAUUUUUACCACUGGGAAGGGAUUAGCAAUCAUCAAUAUUGAUUACAGAAUAGAAUAUGAGAUUGAGUAUCUAUCAUUGCAUGUAUAAUUGAGAACACUUAUCUAACUCUUUCAUACAGGGAUAAGUGUCACAUAAAAGAUAUAUGAAGUAAUGAAUAGUGACAAAGAUAAUUAAUCUGAUCAGCCACAUAUAAAUAUGAUAAGCACCUCAAUUAGAUACUCUAGAAAGUCAUUAGCAUGGUAUUAGAAUGAACUACAAGAAUAUUCCCUAAGUUAUUCUCAACUAUAUAGUCUAGCAUUAUCAUAAUUAGUGCAAGCAUACUUAGCAAUCAUUGUGAGACAAGACUACGCCCAUGCAUAGUGAUAUUAGCAAGGUAAAUGAGAAACAUAGCAAUCACUCCCCUGUAAUAAUAUUGCUCUGCCAGCCCAAUACACGAGAGGGGGACUAUAUAAGAAUCAAUGAAGUUGUCACUAUCACGAACUACCCCACGAUCUGGCAUAUUGGGUACAAUCGCAGAUAAAUACGGUAUAAGCACCACGCCUACACAAUAUCUAUCAUUUACCCAUGGAUCCGAUGGAUAAACGCUACACGAUCCUAAGCAUGUAUAUAGAUCCAAUCUAACUAAGCCAAGUACAUAACUAUGAUAAAAUAAGAACAAUAUAAUCUUGAAUAUAAGCAAGUAGAGCAAUGUCAUAAGCAAUAUAUUGAAGUAGAACAAAGUCAUAUUCAUAAUAUUGAAGAACAAAGAUAAUUAGAAAGCAAUUAGAAGCACAAUUAGAGAAUUACCAAGGAUCCUCUUGACAGAUCCGGAAACAAUCAAAGAUUGACUCCUUCUAGUUCUAAUCCUAUGUAGCUAUGCUAAUCUAGAUGUCUAAUUGAUGUGGUGGCUCUAAUCUUGAUCACAGGCAUCUUCUCCCUUGAAGAAUAAUGAAUUAGGGUUGAGAGGCUCUCUCCUCCAGGGGCCAGGGGGUCUGGUUUUAUAGUCCCUUCAAGUGAAUAUGGGCCGUUGGAUCAAACCGACAUUAAUUGAACGGUUAUCCUUGAUCCUUUAGGUCGGUGGAGAUCUCCCACGAAGCAGAGUCCUGAUUGGACUCUCAGAGGGGGCGGGCGCCCAGGGCAGGAGGGCGGGCGCCCUGCCUCUGGCCCCGUUUCGCCUCUGCUUCGGUCUCGUGGCUUCUGGAGUCUUCUAGAUGUAAGAUAAUUGCACGGCACGUUAAUAUCUCUAUGUAAUCCCGACGUGUGGGCCUUUCUUCCGUAUUUCCUGAUAACCCCCUGAAGAAAUAGACAAACACCCCCAAAGUCUAGAUAUUGAUUUCAUUUGGAUCCUUUUCUUUUUUUAUUUGAUAAUUAAAUUUGAUACUUAAGGGCCGUCAACAAACUCCCCCAAGCUUACCUCUUGCUCGUCCCUGAGCAAGGAUAGACUCAGUGAUGGAUCAAAAGUUGUUGCAAUAUCUUUAAAAAUUGACGGUACACAUGCUUUUAAAUGAGGUCUCAUCUCUGAGUUAGAGUAAACUGUCAAGACUUAAAACUUACUUACUUUACAUUUCACCAUGGGACUUGUAACCGUCACUUCCAUCUUGAACAGUUAAAAGAUAGAACAGUCUAGUCAAGUGCCAUGUCUCUUAUUCUUGAUCAGCUAUAGCUCUGGGGUUUUUGCAGAUUUUCAAAUAAAACUCAGAGAUUCCUUGUAUGACUCUCUCAGAUCUCUCUUUUGUGGUAUUUCUGGAUCCUUACCAAAGCAGUGAUGGUAUAUGCCUUCUCUCAAGAUAUGUAGUAUUUGUGGUAUAAGGCAUAGUGACAUUGCCUUCUCUUUCACCCUACUCUAAUAAGGCUUUAAUAUCUGGAGCUCAUAGGUGGAAGAUAAAAUAUACAUACUUACAAGACAUUUAUUGUAUAGUCAAACCAUGGAUCCAAAGAAACAAAUCAAUAAGCCAAAUCAAGAUGUGCAUGUGUGGCGAAUGAAUGGUGUAUGGUGAUGAUGUUGAUAACAAUGGUGGAAGUCUAAUUCUACUUUUGCUCUUUGAGGGGAUACAUACCUUUCUUGCUUUUUGAAAUUUUUUGAGGAGAAUGAGAUGCUCUUAUUUUUUUUCUUUUCUCUCAGGUGGGUAUCUUGUACCCCUAAUUCUAGUGUCGGACACUUGUCCAUUUUUACCUCUCGUCUCACUUUUUCUUUUCUUCGAGGUUCCGGGCACUUGCCCCUUUUUAUUUCCUCGUAUCUCUUCUUCUUUUUUUUUCCUUUUUUUAGAGCACUCAUCACUUGAGAUAAUAUAGCAAGUGGUAGUAAAAAGAUAACUUGAGCAUUUAUUUCACAAGGGAAAACAGAAAUAUUUUUGGCUAUUCUCUCCCGGAUUAGGAGUAGAAUGUUUUUGGGUGAUUCUGGAGAUGGAAUGGGUGGAUAUAUGUGGAUGGUACUUCCGGAGUAGAAGUAGCAUAUAUGAGCGAACGUGUAAGUGAAUCUUGAUUUAACCACAUGACAAGCUCCUAAGGGUCUACACAGCUUGACCACACUCAAUGCUCAUAAGCAGUAAAUAGUAAAUGUGUGGCUCAAAGUCUAGCAAGCAUGUAUAUAUGGCUAUGGUAGGAAUUUAAACUCUCAUCAUACAGGAACUCAUCAUGCAACAUUUUAAAGAUUUUCAAAGAUAAAAUUCUCCAGAAUUCUAGCAUCUCUAGGAACAGAUAAAUAGCAGCUCAACCUUUCCAUAUCGUAUCCGUUAACAACUUAGACUUCAGAUCAAGUUUUCAUCCCACAAGUUUAGGUCUAGAGCAAGCUUUAAAUUAUAACAGUUAUGUCUAAACUUGAGAGAGAACUUAAAAUGUGCAAAUUAGGCAGAGCAACUAUUUAUCAUAUCCAUGCUUGAGUUUUAUUAUUAAGAUACAGAUUAGCAUAGCCACUUUAUUUAUUUAUUAAACACACUAAGCAAAAGGCAAAUAUAUAAGUAUAAGCAUAAAAUCUUUAUUUGUUUUUUCAUAAUUAUGUAUAUCUAUAUUUUAAUAUAGUAUAAGUAUAAAGAUAGAUAGAAAUACUUAUCGGUAUAAAUGGGGGUGCUCUCCUCCAAGCUGAAUUUUAACGUAAUUUCUCUUGAUGUAGCUAGCAGGUGGCAGAAGUGUAUUUGAAAGUCAGCAGCAUUCUGACAGCGAUUAGAAUGUCCUCCGUCUGCUAGUCUUCUUGAUUCUUAAAUUCUGUGGAGCUCAAAUAGACAACAACGCUUGUGGAACUGAUUAAGUGUUAGCAUAAAUAUCUAGCCUUUAUCAUGUUGAGACUCCUUAAUAAAUGUUACUCCCUGUUUUUAUAUUUUUAUUUUAUAAAGCAGAAAUGAAAUAUUUAUUUUAUUUUUAUGCCACCAUAGUGAAUGUACUUAUGGGUUUUAUGCCACUCGUAUACUCACAUGGGGCUUACUGUUUUUUAACAUUAUUAUUUUAUUUUUAGGAUAGUACGAACAUGAUUAACUAAGCAAACUAGCUGAAACAAUUGAAAGGGAAAGGAUAACUACCAAGUUUACCUCUUGGCAAAGCGUUCGGUGUUUUUAAGUCCUCCGAACGGGACUCUCCAUUUCCUUCAAUUGUCCUGGGAUUUGUUGGGUGGCGGAGUCGGUACUUCUGGCGGCGCCCCCUCUUCAUGUAUAGUUAUCUUCUCUUUCCAUACCUGACUCAGUGCUACAGUCUCCUCAGGAUAGUUCUUUUUAAACUCUACGUCUCUGCACAUCCGUCCUUGAUGAUCUGCCUCCUCUGGUUGCGGUUGCGUCGUUUUCUUACCUGCUUAGAUUCUUCAAAGAUGUAGUUAUGGUCAGUAAAAUAACGGUGUACCUUCUCUGAGGAGAAGUGCAUAUGGACUUCUCCGGUUCCAAUGUAGAUAAUUGCUUUAACGGUGCUGAGGAACGGUCUUCCAAGGAUGAUGGGUGGAUCGUACUCGUCUUCUCCCAUGUCAAUAACUUGAAAGUCUGUGUAGACAAAAUGAUCGUCUAUUUUGACUGGGACAUCAGUUACUGUUCCUUUAACUUCUCGAAACGUCUGAUCUACCAUCUGGAGCUGAAUGUAUGUUGGUUUUAGGGGCAUGGUUCCGAACAAGAGCUGAUAGGUGACUGCGGCCAUUAUGUUGACGCCCGAUCCGGUGUCGCAAAACGUCUUGUAGAAGUUGUAUCCAUUUAUGGAGCAGUAAAUGCUUGGCAUUCCUGGGUCGUCCUUCUUGAUCAAAAAUGAUGACUUAAGUUGAUGAUCUUGGCCUCCAUGAACUACAGUGACCAUCUUAGCUGACUCGGUCCACACUUGCUUGUUUCUAUUCCUCCUGUUGGUCCUCUUCCUUGAUUCACGUCUGGAUUGAUCUGGAAUUUGUGUAGUCUUGUUCUUGAAGAAAAAUGUUUCCUUCCUCCCUUUGAUGUAGAAACUGAUCUUGGCAGCACUAGCGUAGAUGAUAGCUCCCGUGGUGUUCAAGAAUGGCCU